rnacentral:lncRNA from 1 species
GAGGAUCUUCUGGUCCCUUGCACAUCUCUGUUGUGUCCACAAAUUUUGCCAACUUGUUGCCAGCUAACGUCUCCCCUGAACCUGAAGUCAAAUCCCUGCUGUUACUUCCUGUCGCAACCUGCUUCCUCAAUUUUUCAUUUGGGGCAUGAUCCCAUAAUGAUCUUCGUACGGUGCAUCCCGGAAGCCGUGAAUAUAAAAGCUUCAUAUGCAGCACAUUCCGUGAACCAAAAUCCCACACCCCAAGCUGUGCUCCAGUGACUACAUACACGCCUGAGAAAUCACCUAUGAACGUUUCAGGGCUCUCUACUGGUGCAGUGCUCACAUGCGAAAAGUUCUUCCACUUCACAGGCUCAAACCAUCUACUAUCUUGUUCUUCAGGACCCUGCCACUUUGGAGCGCCAAUUGCCACGUGUGACUCCCAGUAUGGCUGGAGGAUCUUAGGAAGAGAUGCCAGAUGUUGAAGGUUAAUACACAGGCGAUUCUGCUUGGAUCCUUCCAGAUGAAGCCGCAUGCCUGUCACAGGCUUCCGUCCCACUGAUACCUGCAUUACGUUUAUCUAAGAUACAUCACUGGGGAUCUAAGGGUACAUCAAAAGGCACUAGCAGUAGUCAACAAACCAUAACUAUUAUAAUGCAGAUUGCAAUUUGUAGCGUUUAAUAGAUGUUCUGUUCCAUUAUUAAGUUCCUUCUCUAGAUGUAAGGGGGAGGAAAAGUUAAGUCACCUGGAAAAGAUUACAGAGUCUUAUUGAAUAUUGUGAAAACCACUAUGAUAAGAUGACCAGUUGUGGCAUAAGCAUAAGCAGUAAUAUCUGUCCUGGCUGCUUUUCGAACAGAUUUUGAAACUUUCAAAACAUCUUAUUUAAAUUGAUAUAGAGAGGUAAAACUUUGCAAAUUAGUCGGCAUCAGAACUAGAAGCUAGCUGAACUUUUUCUCACACCAAGUCACUCCAUAAUAGUUUUAAGUUUUACAUUGGACAUGCUCACGUACUUGCACCGGGCUGACAUAAAGCUUUUGCCCCAUCAUGCUAAACUGCAGAGAUGGGCAAACAGGUUCCUUUCUUGAUUGACCUGGAAGCCUGUCCUGCAGAGGGGCCCAUGUUCGAGGGACCUGAAACUCUAGAAAAUAUCUCAGCUCUUCAAUCUGAGGUUUGUCUGCAUACAAUAGCCAAAACUGGUAUCAUUAGCUAUAACAAGAAAUCACUUGCUAGCAACAGUUUCUGACAGCUGUUCCAGCACAUGAGGAGCAAAAACUUUUAAAAGGUAAAAUGCCUUACAGUCCAGGUAGAGAUCUAUAGCUCGUGUUAAAUGCUCCUUUCCUCUAACCCCAUCAAGAAGGAGUGAAAUUGGAUAAAACUGCAUCUCAAUAACAUCUGGAGAGGAUUGAACUGUUCUUGCCCAUUGAGUAUGACUUUGUUCAAGAUCAUCCCCUCCCCUUCGUCUGAAGAUGACUGUAACAUCCUGCAUCAAAUAUAUUUGAAAAUUUUGAUGUUAACCAUUGUUAAUCAUUUUAGAGGCCACACAAUAUGUAAUUUGCAAUCAAAAUAAGGAAAUAAUGUGGAUUCAACAAAAGAAAAUUCUCUCUCUCUGCCUCCCCCCCCCCCCAACAAUGAAUUCUUAUUUUGCCAUCUUUCAGAAAUUUGUCCAUGCAUCAUUAAUUACACUUAGACGAACUAAAGUUGAUUUAGUCAUAUAAUAGCUACAGACCUCAAUAUGCAUAAUUAUCACCUCUUUUCAUCAAAUAUACUCACCGCCUUGAAGGUCUACCAGUUCAUCCCCAACAACAUCAUUGACCAUACAGAUACAGAUAGCAUGAAGGUGUUAAACUUCCUAAGACUGCUCAUGAUUAUGCUGAAUUAGCAAGCAUGUGACAAUCUAGAUGCAAUACGAGAAGAUUGGAUUGUCAAGGCUUUCCUUGCUACAAAUUACUAUUAGCAAUUAAAAAGUGAUUGUAGAAGACUUGGACUUUGAUAAUGUAGCUAAUUUCUUCAUUUCAGGCAAUUGGCAGAUGCAACAUAGUGGAAGUGUCAAAAUACAUAAUUCCAAAAAGAAGGGAAGCAGCAAUUGCUUCACCAUUGCAACCACUGUUUCAUGAGAUAUGCUGCAUACCUCUUUUCCAUUGCCUGCAAGAAUAGGUGUAAUACUUGGUUGUGGAUAUAUCCCUUGGCUGUUGAAUAAAGAAGGAUCAUGUCCCUGCAGAAUUGUGCGGGAAGGUAAUAAGAUGGAAUAUACUUUUCAAUCUUUUAAGAAAUCGGAAACCAGGCUUCGAAAACAAAAACAUAAAGCCUAAAAAUAAGAUCGAAAAAUUGGAAAAGUUGAAAAAUUACUACAAAGAAAGAUAUAUACUGGAACUAGCCUUAUCCUUGUAUUUCAAUAAACCUGAACUCGUUAGACUUUCUGCACUCGAGAACCUUUGAUUUCCAAUGUCUUGGACGUAACUUUUUAUUUCCAUGGUCGACAAAGAUGACGAGUCAUGUUGUUUCACAUAUAUAACAUCUUUCCCUCCAAUAGUUAUAGAUGUAAUAACAUGGGUCCCAAAGUUUUCAAUGAAGCUGGCAGAUACAUAGAUGGAAAAAUGUAAGUCAACAUUACAAACCCAGGAAAAAGAAAAAAGAAAUUCCAUCAAUUAUAAACAGCACAAUAUUUCCUACCUAGCCAAGGCUGGUGGAUCCCAUAAUGUUGGUAUUGCUCUUCUAGCAUUUUGUUGCAAUACCAUGGAAGAUUUCCGGAGUUCAAGCUUUGCAAGAGGAAUGAAGAAUCCAUCUAUGGAAAGGGUCUUUGUAGUAGCAGCAUCUAUGUGCUUAGACCCAGUAUAGCUAAAUGCGGCAUUGAAGCUUCCAAGAGGAGAAUGUCCAAAUAAAUUUGCCCUUCUAUUAAAAUACUCCACCAUCUGCAAUCACUUACACUUUACAUGCAUUAGAAGAUUAGAGCCACCAUAAGUGCCAUCGACCCCCAGAUCCAUGAAGAUAAGCACAUACAAAAUUACAUAUUUAACUCAUGUACAUAGUAGAUCCACAUUCAGUCCCCUAUAAAGGAAGGAAAUGCCAAAGCAAAUGGUGUAGACUGGCAGAAAAACUAAUAAUGUAGUUUGAAAACAACUCGGAAUACAUUCACUGAUUUCUAUUCCUGUCAUUGUCUUCAUGAUUUCUUCCAUUAAAGUUUGCAGAUAUGAUAGACAAGAGGAUUGCGACAACUAGCAACCUAUGGCAAUUAAAAUUGAAAAAGGUUGUUCUAUGAAACAAACUAGGUGCCUACAUGCUGAGACAUCAUGAAGAUGCUUCUGAUUUCCAAAACAAUGAAAUAAAUGUUUGAAACCUAGUGAUGCUUCAAAGUCUCACAGACAAUUGCUUAAUGCAGGACCAUAUCAUUGACAUCUAACAUAGAGAUUCUCCAAGUGGAGAAAACAUAGGAUAAGGCGGCUUUCGUCAGAUUACAGGGGAACACAUAACUCAAAUUAAACUGAGGCAAAUAGAGGCAUAGAUAUCCUAGAACAAGUUCUGAACAAUCAUAUUAAUCAAAAGAAGAGCAUUUUCCGUUUUUUCAUUUUCUCUUGAUGACUUGAAGACAGAAAUCUAAUGAAGCAUAUAUACUUGAAAAGCAAAACACGUGCAACCAAUUGGAUCAUAGCAAGGCCAUUUAAUCAUAGAUUGAUGCUGCAGAACAGGUUUGAGUGAAAGAAAAGAAAAGAGGAUUAUCCACGCAGAAUCUGGUAGUUUCACCAUUGAGCUCUGUUCUAAUAGAGAAGUAAGCGUAUAAGCAAUAGUGAAGGUUAUUCAAUAAUUAUUGUGGAGUCAAAUGAAAAGUAAGAGCAGAAGGCGACAUUCGAGAUAUGGGGGCGCAAGGCAAAAGUCAGACGGUUACCUGAAAUACAAAAAUAAUACAACUACUGUAGUACUCUCCUCGAUAGGAGCAGCGAAGGGGAGUAAGAAUUGGAAAAUAGAGAAGCAUGAUGAUUGAUGAGCAGGAGGGGUGGUGGUGGUAGUAGUAGUUACCUCAUCAUAAGUGCAAACACCAGAGGCAUGACGGGCAGCAGGCUCAGAAAAGGUCUUGAUAUCCCUGGAAACACUGGGGACAACUAAGUUAUCAUACAAACAGAGAUCCCUGGUAUUGCCCUCGUCGAUCUCCACUACAGUGGCGCCUGAAACUCCCUUGCAGUAAAGCAAUCUGGUAUCAAAGUUGACAUCAAAGCCCCUGCCCAAGGCAUGCACGGCACUGAUAGCAGUAUGCAAAGCUGCUGCAUUUUCCUCCAUUUCAAUUUCAUCACCCAAGAAAGAGCUCCGCACCGCUCCGCCCCCUAGAGGCUAGAGUCGUCUCUCAGAGAGCAGUAGAGAGCUCCAACACAAUCCAAUCCGUACCAGGUCAACCCCACGACCUACCCACCAAAAAAGUUAAAAAGAGUAUCCAGUCCAAAGCCCAAAGUGCAUCUAAUAAUUUGCAGUUGAAUCACCACCUGAAAGAUUUAUUUAUUUUGUUAUUAUUAUUAUUUAUUUGAUUGAAGACAAGAGCGCAAGUGUAAGGAACCCAGAGAAAGUAAUGGAGUGUAAUCAAGAAUUUAAGGGAAAGUUUACAUAUAAACUUAAUGGAUCAGACAAAAUCAACCAGCCUUGCCCUUGCGUACUACAAGCAGAAAGCUCUCUUUUUAUACAUACACAUAUUUUUGGGGUUCUAAAUAGUAUUGGACUAAGAGGAGUUAUUACCAAGAAAGAUUUUUGAGGCCGGAAAAAAGGUCUAAAGCAUCAUCAUCCGAUCAUCAAUACUGUAUAAUCCUCUGGUCAUAGAACUUUCUCCGAGUGUCCGUAUCGACCCCUACCGGCUGGCUAACUUUGGGGUGAAAUGCAGAGACACACCCCAGGCAAACCAACAAAAUUCUCCCUGAUCAACGAUCCUUGUUCUUCUUCUUCUUCUUCUUGUCGCUGGUCGUCUUCUUCACCUAUCUGACUGACUGACUCACUGACACCUUUGGGCUGGGCUUUGACUCACCCCUCUCAGUUUUAGGUUGUUAUCUACCACUAUGUACGUGUGUCUUUACAUAUUCUCAAGUACUAAAAUACUGGUAUUUUGACCCGUGCGUUUUAACUUUUAAAGCAUAACGAUAACAAAAAAUUAUUUUUGCAACAUAAAAAUUAAAAUCUAACAAUUGUUUAAGAAGUAUUAUUUUUGCAACAUAAAAAAGGUAUUAAAAAGAGUUUAGUCUAAUGUGUUAUUUAUUUUCGGUACCGAGUUAAUUUUUAAUUCCCAUCCAUAAAAAAAAAAGAGAAGGUACUAUGGGAUCAUAAGAAAAUUUUAUGUAUGAUUACUUAUACAGAUAAUUUCAAGUUGAAUUUUAUUUAUCUAUUAUAGGUCAAUAUCUCAUAAUAUUGUGCAUAGAAUAAUUCGAUCCGUAAAAAAAUAAAAUAGAAGCAAUCUUAGACAUCUUUAUUAAUAACCGAUAAAAGAGAUUUGAGUCAAACCUAAAAUCUAAUAUUUAUAAUAUUGAAACAAAUUAUAUUUAAUUCAAUUGUAAUAAGUAUUGAUUGAUUUUGCAUAAUUACUAUAGUUGAUGUUUGGUUCGUUAGUUUUUUCGAAAUGGGAUAUAAGAAAUUUUUACUAAUUAAAUGUAUUAGUAAAUUUAGUAUAACUAAUUAAUAAUUUCUAUUAGUAAACAUGUAUAAUUAUUAGGAUAAUUAAUAAUAUCAAUUAUAUUACAUAUACUAAUAUACAUUAUAUAAUACAUAUAACUAAUAAUAUCAUUAUUAUAACUUUGUAACUAAUUAAAUUAAAAAUUAUAUAUUUAAUUAAAUUUAAUUAUACAAAUAUUAUAUAUAAAUAUAUAAUAUAUGAAUAUUAAUUAUACUAAUAUAUUAUAUAAUUCAAACACCAUUCCUAAUAAGACACACCAAAAUACUCACGCAUCAGUACUUUUUUUCUUCAUCAACCACACAAGACACCUGUUUCCCCUCUUUCCCCAUUCCUUCUAUUUUCCCCCACAACCUAUUCCCCCGACCAAAUUGCAACCUGUCAUUUUCCCUAUUUUACAUAAAUAUUCUCUCUUACAUUUCCUACUGUGACCUUAAAAUUUUAAAAUAUUCUUACGGUGCUCAUGAACAACAAAUGGAAUAAGUGCCUAAACGAUUGACCUUAUAAUUUUAAAAGAAAUUUCAUUUAGUUUAGACAAAAAGAGGAAGACGGGCAUUUUUUAAACUACCAUGAAGAUGAGAUUCAAAAGCUUUCUUUUCCUUUGUUGUAAGCUUGCUUGGGCUUGGGGUUUGUUCUGCUUUCCCCUCCGCCUGGGCCUCAAUUCAGGCCCUUAACAAUCAGCAGAGGACUCAACUCCAACUUCAACAUUUUUGGUUUUUGACUUUUCUUCCGCCAAUUUUAUCGAACAGGGAGGAUAAUCUCAGGAGUUUAUACAAUAAGGCCCCUUUUAUACCGUGUAGUAACACUAGCAAGAUCAUAUAACCCCCCACCCCCCCAAAGAAAACCGGAACAUUUCCCCAUCAACCAGCUACAUAACCGCCGUGCAUCAGUACUAAUUUGGCCAGCAAGCAUUUUCAAACAACAGCACCGCUCAAGUGGAAUCAAGUGGCCUGAGCUUAGAAAUAGUCAUUCAUCUAUAUAUAUUUUUCCUCAACAAGUUUGCAGAUAAUUACAGAUUGUAUUAGAUACUUUUCAAACUUGUCCUUCUAAUGAAUCAAGACUGCAUAACGAUUCUACUUCUGCUUCAAAAACCUGCAAGGCUUGCUUUCUUUUCCAUUGUCGAAACAGGUCAAAAAGCAUCUAGGCAAUCACUCGGUUACUGUGAGUUUCUUGCCUUCUUUGCAGCAAAGAGCUGACGCAGAAAGGCAAAUUUCCCUCUAGCUCGCGCAGAAAGUUCUGCAAUACUGCCAUUACUUGUAACUGUUGCUUCAUUGGACCGGGCUUCCUGCAAAGAUGGUUCUGGUGGCGGCAGUGCAAAGAGAAAUUCGUUCAGCAUCCUGAUGAUUUGGCUGAAGCUAGGUCGCAGAUUGGGAUCCUCAACCCAGCAUGACUGCAUAAUGAAAGCGAGAUCAGGGGAAAUGUCUUCUGGAAUGGAAGGCCUCUCUUGCUGCAUGUUCAAUGCAAUACAUGAUGAAUAUCAGACACUAACGUAACACGGUGAUUUCUUUCACCAAGAAGAGAAAACAGCGAACACACGCAAACAACCUAAAACUGAUUGGAUGCUUUAAAAUACAUAAAAUGUUCCAAGGGUGGCACUGAGUCGAACCAAAACUGCAACUUACAUGGUAUCGCAAUAGGUUUGCACACCACGAUCACGUAAUUUUCUGAACCAUACAAGAGACUGACAUGUUUUGUCAUGAAAACAAAAUUUGUGGUGGCUUAGCUUGCAUAAGUUGCAGCAUCAUGCCAUGUGGAGGGGAGACCAUUUGAAUCAGCUGAAUCACACCAACAAGACUCACAAAUUCCAGUAAACUUUCAAGCUAAUUAGGUUGCAGAAGAUUGGCCAUUUAACAACGUAGCAAGACAAACAUGGUCCACAUAUACACAUCAGAAAUGAUCAUACCACAUGUAUCAAGUAAAAAGCUCCAAUGUCUUAAAAGCAAAUGCUUGCUCAUAGAACUGCUAUAACCAGAAAGUCAGUUGUAAAAUGAACACAGCGCAUGGCAAAAGGUGGUGAAACUUUCAACAAACCAAUGAACUCAUUAAUUGGCAAGCAUACCUGGAGCAGUUACUAGUAAGAUGCAUUACCCAGGUAUGACCCACUCACAAGAGCAUUGAAUGCUGACUCAACCAAAGAAUCAACUACAGCAUACCAACAAAGUAUACAAAAGUGGCUUUGACAAGAAAAUUGUAUAGAUUGAUUGAAAUACGACAAGUUUCCUUGACAAGCAUUUUAGAAAAUGAAUUCAGGAAAAAGUAGUACUUCAUUAUCCGUAGGAAAGUUAAUCCAGAAAAAUAAGAAACAGUAAGAAUUGAACACAAAGACCAUCGAUAGUUAAUGCACCUUAAAAGCAGCAGCAUAAGCAGCCUGCAAAUUUGACAUUCCUUCAAACGGCAUACGGUUCGUCAGUAGUUCCCAAAAAACAAUCCCAAAACUGUAAACAUCUACCUUAUUAUUGUAAUGCUUCUUCUCUCCCUGACGCAGGGUAACAGUGCUGUACAACUGCAACAAGAAGUUUUGAUGGUUGAAGAAAAGCACUUGAUAAUGGAAUGCAAAAAGUCAAACAUGUUGCAAGCAUAUACAUGCACCUCUCAUACCGAUCAGUAACAAAGGACAGCACCCAAAAAUUAAAAAAAAAUAAAUAAAUAAAUAAAAGAGGAAGAAAUGAAAGAGAGAAUAAAAUCAUUUAUUUGCAAAGCUAGCAGAAGGCCCACAAUAAGGCCGUUGAAGAUCAUGAUAAAAGUGGUCAACAGAGAAAAAAGACCUGUUAGGGCUCCUCAUUGUCAUACCAAUAGUUGAGAGAGAUGUGAAAUAACUAAAAGAAUGAAAUAAUCUUCUUCAUUGGAUCAAUUUGGAAGUCAGCUCCAGAAAACUUGUCCUCAGAUAAAGGGCAAACUAAAGCGAAAAAAAGUUGAACAAACCUCGGGGGCCAUCCAACGAUAUGUCCCUGUUUCUGCAGUCAUCAUUUCGGUUACAGAUUCUUCCCUUGCAAGGCCAAAAUCUGCUAGCUUCACAGACUGCUGAUUGGCCGUAAGCAACAAGUUAUCUGCAUAUAUAAUUUCCCUGAUAUAUUCAUCAUUGGUAAAAGCAGAAAUAAAAGCUACACCAAAAGAUUGCCAGUGCAAACCAGAAAAAAGGGUCCGCAAACAGUCUGAUCUCAUCACAUAAAAGCAAAGUACCAGCUUAAACCGGACUCAAUUCAAGAACCACAUUAUGCAAGUCCUAGAUUGGCACUCUUCAUUUAGAUAGCAAGCCCUCAACAUAAAUACCUAAACAACGGACGUGAAAGGGGAAAUGAAAGAAAUCAUGUUCACUGUCUUAAAGAGUUAUUUAGCUAUCAAGUAGAGACACCAUUAGACAAAGCAUUUGCCCCCAUUUAGGAAAAUCAUGUUCAAUGUCUUAAGAGUGAUUUAGAUAUCAAGUAGAGACACCAUUAGACAAAGAAUUUGCCCCCAAUAUGCGGGUGCACUUAAAGGAACAAGAAGAGGUAUUAUUUAUAAAAUUUAUUCACAUGACAACAAGUGGUUACAAUAGAAACAAAAGUCUUGUACAGAUCAGCAAGCCAUGAGAUACCAGGUUUAAGAUCUCUAUGGAUAAUCCCAUUAGCAUGUAAACAAUCCAUAGCUCGAGCAAUGUCAACGGCAUAAUUUAGUGCCACAUGAAGAUCCAACUGCUUUGGACGGAUGCUGACCAAAUACUUCCGAAGUGACAUGCCUGGUAAUAGCUCUGUAACUAACACCAUCAAGGGAUCUUUACACGCUCCAAUAAACUGCAAAGGCAAAUAAAUGUUAAACGGUAACUAGUUACGAAUUCAUAGAAGUGGAAAUUGACAUGAAUCUGUGCUUACAAGUUACAUAAUAGACUGAAAUCUCAACAAUUACAGAUACUACAUAAGAGCAACACUCGUUAAGAAAACCAACUAACAGCACAAAGACUGGCUAAAAAACUCAAUUCGAUGGAACCAGCUUGGUGGCUCUUAAGCCUUCAAAAUUAAAAUGCAAUAACCAAAGUACUCACCUUCACAAGAUUUUCAUGCUUAACUCUUGACAUCAUUGUCACUUCUCGGGCAAAACGACCUUCAAGUGCAGUCCUUUCUUCAGAAUUGUUGCCAUGAUUGAGGACCUUUAUGGCAACAAUUCGAUCUCCAUACCUGCGUGAAUGUAGCAGAUUUUCAAAACAACCAAGACAAAUGCACACAUCAAAAAGCAAAUUCCUUAAUCUGAUUGGCAAGCUCCCAGGAUUUGAAACGGUAACCACUUUUCUGGAAGGGCACAACCAGUUUUACUGAAAUGCAUGUCUGAGUUUUCCUUGACUAUUAGUUCCCCUUGACUAUGACAUAAACCUAACUAGGAACCAAUAAAGCAGUAUCCUCCUAUAAGAGUUCAAACAUUUGGUCGCGAGAAUGCUACUGAAUUCUCCAAACACUAAAAAUCAUGAAGUAAUUGCACCCUGAUGAGCAGAAGAAAAUUGCUCCCACCUUAAUAUCAUAGAUAGUGCACAAAAUGCAACAUGAUGAGCUCACAGAUAAAGAAAGAGAGGCAUACAGCAAGACAAGCAUCGAAUGGCAGGAUAUCCAAAUUCUUUCCAAUGAGUUAGACAUAAACGAACUUUCUCAAUAGUGAAUGAGAAGCAAAAAAUAACUAAAUUCAUCAAGAAGCUGCAAGUUUGAGUAGAUUAGGCAUACCUCCCUUGGUAAACUUUUCCAUGAGCUCCCUCACCAAUCUUUGAUCCGAUAAAGAGCUGUUUAGGGUCAACGAGAACUUUUUGAUCAAUACAAAAAUGUGGGGAGGUUGCGGUUGUUGUUGAUCCAUUCCUGGAGGCACCCUCAUCUGAUUCACAACCGACAACUGGUGUUUCACAGUCCCUCUGUUCUCCUCUGUUAUACUUGUCACUGCAACUCAUGGUUGCAAAACAAUCACUCAGCUAAUCCCCGAGUGCUUCAUACUAAAAGAGCCUCACAUCCAAAAACGCUCAGACCAGCCUCCCUUAUCCCAAAUUAUUACAAUCACCACUGUUUUCCCCCCUCCUACCAAACAACCAUUUCUCCCCAAACUGAAAUUAAAAAUCACCCCAAUGUAUCCUGUAACUAAAUUCUGUUGCAGCCAGUCCUCGAGGACACGUAUCCGCAAUCAUCAUCUAACCAAUUGUGUCUAGCAGUAAUUAAAAAAAAAAUUUUUUUUUUGGGUCAGUGGUUUAUCAAGCCCUGAUCAAGGACAAACAAAAGAAGGGACCGACGCAUACAAUAGAAUUGCACCCUUUAUGCGGUUUGAGCAAUACAUCGUCUAGUACAAACAGAAGAACUGUUAUAUUGCUUCAGCAGAAGAUAGUAGUUUUUUUUUUAAUAUAUAUUUUAACUAGCAGUCAGUAUAUGACUAGUAUGAGACAGAUUUUACACUCUUCAACAGACUACCAUUCAACUAGCAGGAGGGAACGAAAACGAAAAUUGAGUUUCCAAAUAAAUCUUAUAGAAAUUGAAACAAGAGUCCAAAACCAGAAAUCGAUCAGCAGGCUCAAUCUUUAUGACCGGAAGAUCAGAGCAUCAACAGAUUUCGCUGGGAAGAUAGGAUGACCCGUUGUUUUGAUAUAUUUAAGGAAAAAAAAAAACUGAUUGGUUGAGAAAAUUAAACGUGCACUUGAAGCCCCGGUAAACGUGGUAAUUAAGUAAGCACAAAUUUUCUUUUCACACUCAGAGAGAGAGAGAGAGAGAGAGAGAGAGGCAAACCCCUAAACCGAAGCAACAAAGAAAGUGAGGGGAGUGUAUGUUUUUUUGAGGAAGACAGAGACGGUGAGAGAAAAGAAAGAAACUUAGCAGUUGCCGAUAUGUCCCAAUAUAGGAAAGUAUUUAUAUCCUCAAUAGUAGUUUUUGUUUACAUAAAAGAGUAGCUCCUCCUCCUCCUGCUGCUGCUUCUGCGUAGAGACUCAAAAAAAAAAAAAAAAAAAAAAAAAAAAAAAAAAAAAAUCUCUUGACAAUCUCAAGCCCUAGAAUAAAGACCCAACCCACCCACAAGUUAGUUUGCACCAAACCCCCCCGGAAAACUUUUUAAAAUUUUUAAUUUUAACAAAACCGACAGAGAGAGAGAGAGAGAGUUACGAGAAGAAAUCCACCACCCCACCGGCGGCCCCGAUGGAUUCGGGUGUUGUUGGGCUGAGAGGAGCGGGAAGUAAUAAUUUUCCAGCCCUUUCCUUACCAGUCGUAUGCUAUACUCAAUAGUCAGUUAGUCAAUACUGGGGGAUGGCAUAGAAAAUAGGGAGGGACUAGAACGAAAUGGAACGAGGUGCUGACGUCGGCGUGCUCCCAAUGGUUUUAGGACACGUGGAUUGCGGCGUUACGACUACCGCUACUCUGGUUGCACCGCUGUGCUACUAAGAAGAAGACCAGUUUUAUAGGCGGAGGGCCGGCACUAAAAACCCUCGCCUUCCACUCUCUCCAUAUGUUUGACUCCCCGACUAAAUAUGAUCCAUGCAGUAGUAGCGCAUGUCGUCCGAGCAACUACACCGGCUUAGCGUGGCAACGAGUCGGGUGACGCCGAGUUAGAUUAUUGUGUCAUUUUUAUGUCCGCGUCAAAAGAUUUUAACUCAAACCAGACUUGCUAAACUUUCGUGUCUUGUUAACAGAUUAAUACAAACCAGUCUGUUUAACCUAUUAAGCAUUUUGGACGACAAUAAUCCUUGUCAAAUAAAUCCGUCUGAAACACACCCUAACCUAUUUAAUCUUGUCUUGUUAUUAAAGAGAUUUUAUUGCCAAGAAACAUAAUAAAGUCUUCAAAUUUUCAAAACCUAAAAGCAGUUCCAAAAUUUCAACGCCAAGUUUUAAUUCAAAGAAAAAUCUAGUGCUAUAAAAUAGUACAUGAUAAAACACAUAAUUUAAGAGUUUUCAAAUUUUUUUGGAAAAGAAAAAAAAAACAAUGGGGUAUUGGUUUUAGCAGUAAAAAAAAUUAAAAUUGAAACUUAGACUCUAGGUUAAACUCUUACCAAAUAUAACCUUAGUUACUUCUGUGACUAAGAGUUAGGUCGAAAUGUUAAUGAAUUGUCACCUGCUCGUAUCGAUACUGCCGUUGUAAUAAGAAAUAUGAUUGAUUUUCUAAAGUAUAAAACAUUGGGUUUGGAUGCAUGAUAAUUAAUUUUAACUUGAAUUUAAAAUCUAAAUUUUGUACAUAAAAUAUAUGUCCAAGUUUGAGAGCGUACACAUAUUAUUAGGAUAUAGAAAAUUAAUAUUAAUACAUCAUUAUGCUCAUAUUGAAUAUUUUGUUUGUGCAUUCUAAUAAAAAAAAAAUAGAUUAGAGGUAGUUAGGAAGAUAUUUUGAUUUGACUCUUGCCAUGUAUUAGUAUGAUAAGGAUAGUUUAUACUCUCUCUCUCUCUAUAUUUAUUUCACCAUUAUCCGCAAAACAAUCCACCGCUGACCGUGUGGUUGAGCCAUACCUUUCACUUAUCAUCUAGAGCCGAUUGCAGAUUUCCAAAUUGGAAAAAUCGCGCCAACCGUCUCCUACGUAUUGUACAUGCCAAAUUUUAGUCUCUCAAAAUUAAAAUAAUCGCCCCGCAGGAAGCUUAGCUGAUGAUUACAUGCGGUAAUAUCUUGUAGGUCACCGGUUCAAAUUUUACUGUGCAAAAUUGCUAUACAUCCUUAGGCGAGAGGUUCUGUAUAGUCCAGAGGAUUAGUCCGACAAUGACUGGGAUACCCCUAUACUGAAAAAAAUAAUAAUAAAAUAAUUAAUUUUAAUUUCUAACAUGUAGAAAGCACUCAUUUUUUUAUUUCUUGUCACCUAUCACGUAGUUGAAAGGUAAUUUUGGCUACUCGCUGAAUAUUGACCUAAUUUCUCAUUUAUUGCACCAUUUCUCCUACUGAUUCUCCUUAUAAACCAUAAUUUCGCAAACUUAAAUCCAUAUGACUCAUUUUUUUUCUUCCACCACCAUCCUUUUCUUCCUCACCCUCUCUAUCUUCCUAUUCUUUCGUCAUUUUCAUUCAUUCUUUCCAUCUCCCUUUCCCUUAUCUUCCUCAUUUCCAUUCCUUUCCUCUACCUAGCCAAGUUGCGACCGAAUCUAGUCCUAGAGGAAGGGGAUCGAGAGGCAUGUGUAAGUAGGAGUGCUCACACUUUGGAAAAAAAAUUGAAUAAAUGAUCAAUCUAAUUUAGAUAAAAAAUCGGAUAUUGGUAAAAUGAAAUUUAGGAAAAAGGAUUAUGUCCAAUCUUAAAUUUUGGUAAAACAAAUUGGGAAUGAAUAUUAAAAUUUGAUUCUCAAAUUCCUGAUUAUUGACCAAAAUUUCAUAUUUUAAUUAAAUAUUUUAUAAAUAUCAUACUUGCUAAUGUAUCGUAUUGUAUAUUAAUGUACUAGUCAAUAAUGAUAUAAGUUAUAAUUUAUACUUAUAAACAAAUAUGUGACCUUAAAAAUGUAUUAAUUAACAUAUUAAUAACUUUGAUAUUGUUGAUUUCAUAUUUAAUAUACUUAACUAAUUUAGAUUAAAAAAUCAAUCUAAAAUUCUGGAUAUUUUACCGAAAUAAUGGCUAUUCGAUCAAAAUUCAAUUAUCAAAUAAAAAUUUGAAUAAUACUUAGGAAGAAAAAGAAGAAGAGGGGAGGAAAGGGACAAGAAAGAGGAGAGAGAAUAGAAGGAAGAGGCAUAAGAGGGGGAAGAGGAACGGGAGGAGAAAAGAAGGAAGUGGUGGUAGUGAUAAGAGUCUUAGGAGAGUAUGGUGAUGAUGACGAUGGAUGGUAAAAAGUUGUUGGUAAUGGUGGAAGGGAAGAGAGUUAAAAAAGUGAGAGGAUAGUGGGGAAUGAUGAUGGGGGGAAGAGGGAGAAGAAAGGGAAGAAAAAAUAGGGAAAGUGGCGGAGAUGAAAAAAGGGAGAGGAAGAAAGAGAGAGGGGAUGAUGGAUGGGUAAAAGAGGGGAAAGAUUUAGCCAUUGGCCCUUUAUAUUUGAACUAAUGUAAUAAGUAAAAUUUUAAAUUUGUCCGUCAAAAUUGGUCACUAAUGUGUCCGUAAUUUAUUCUGGCAAAAAUUUGACUGAAAGACUAGAAAUGAACAUCUAUCUAUACGUUAGGAACUAAAAUUGAUUAUUUCAAUUUCCAUAUAUAUAUAUAAAGCGCGAAGGAACGUGGCGUGUCAUCUAUAAAAAUCAUGGUACUUUUUUUUUGGAAGCAACUCUGAAUUUUGGUACAUAGACCUACUAGAAUACAAUGUAUAAGUUGUCUCCUUUAAUACAGGCAGGUAUGAUUUAUGCAAUUGUUACACAGGCUGCUAAAUUGGAUUACUGAAUUCAAUCUUCGUAUUACAAAGUCCUUUAAUCUUCCUUUGAAUUGGCUAUGAACAAAUAAGUAGUAAUUUAACUCAGAGCCCAGUCAACGAACCAAGUGAUUCGAUAGCUCAUCGCUUUAUAUAUAAAUAUAUUUUUUUUAUUGCUAAGAGAAUCCGUAUCUGCUACUCGAAAGUGCACAUUGAGUAAAUUCCAUCUCGUGCAAUAACUGGCUGCUAUAUAAAAGUGCAUAUUGGGUAAAUUUCGGCUCGUGCAAUAGUCCGCCAAUCACGUGGAGGGGUAAGACGCACUAAGCAAUGCUUGUACGGCAGACAGAUGUUCCAGAAGAGGUUGAAACCCGGGUUGGCAGGAAGACAUGACAAAAAUGCGCUAGGCACAGCUUUGUAUUUUUACUCAUCAUAAUGGCAUGAAAAGACAAAUUCAUUUGCCAAUCCGGAUCCAUCUUGCCGAACUGAGUACAUGCAGCGUUGCUGAUUAGUGUAAUUCCAACAGUAAAUGUGUAAAAACAAAAAAUGCAGGAGCACUAAAAAUAAAUUGGUUCCCAUUGCUUAACGAAAAUUAGAAACGACAGUACAAGUACAAUGGUUCUCUGGAUUGAAGAUAAUUCGAUAAAAAUUUUAAUUUUAUUAAAAAGAUAGUUAAAAUUUUAACAAAAAAAAAAAAAAAAGGAAAACAUGAUAAUAACAGACUACGAAAAUAUUAUUUUAAAAAGUAACAAUCCAAACACUCUGAAUUGAUUAUUGCAUUUGCCCUUGGAAACAAUCAAGUGCCAAAGUAAAGAUGCUUUAUCAUAUGGGCAGCCACUCAGAUAACUAAACCACCUUACCUCAUAAUUAAAACCACCCACAUUACAGAACAAAAGGGGAAAAAAGAUUAAAAAAGAGGAGUGAAUGUGAUCCGUUCAUAUAAAAGAAAAAGGCACUAGAAAUUAAUAAGUGCAUGUAUGCUUCGGUCCUGACGAAACCUUGAAAGUUGAAGAGCAACUUAAGAAGAGCUCAUAAAAGUUUCCUUGACUAUGAAGUAUGAAAUUGGUGCUUCUUCUUAUAUUUCAUUUUUAAGUACGUCUACAUUAUCUAAACCGCCUUGCCGUUUCUCUGAAAAAAAAAAAAAAAAGGAACUGUUGCUUCUUUAACAAAUACUGCUUGCAUUGCCUGUAAGAUUUCUUGAAAAAGUGGAGACAUUCCUUCUAAGUUUUAAAUGGUGACUAACAGUAAAUUUCAUAUUAAAAAAAAAAAAAUAGCAUCCUAUCGUAUAUUUUGGUGUUGCGAUACUAGUUUCCCGCAUUAUCUUAUGAUGUUAUCCAAUUCUAAAUGUUAUAGGAAAUAAAGCUAUCAAAGAAUCAAGCCUUGACAAACAUUUUGGAUUCGAUUCCUUAAAAAUUGGAUUCAAGUUUGACUUUGAACAAGCUAGAACUCGAAUUUGAAUUGGUAUUAGAAUUUAAUAAAAAUGUCGAAUCGAAUUCAAAUUCAUACAUAUUCGACUCCAUUAGGCUCAAAUAAUUUUUAUAUUUUAUAUUUAAUAUAUUUAUAAAUAUUAUAUAAGUAAUUAUACAUUUAUUAUUUUAUUUUAUAGAUAUUGUACGUGUAUUAUUGAUAAAUAAUAUUAAAAAUUAAAAACUAAAACAAAAUUUUGAGUUUCUGAUGGAACUCAAAUGUAAUGAAUGUUAAAUCGAACCAAAUUCGAGUUUAAAUCUUAUGUUCGUAUGGAAUUCAAGUUCGAACCCAAAACUUUGAAUCGAGCCUAACAGAUUCGAAGUUCAAGUCGUUUGUAGUCCUAACUUCUAAUAGGAAAGACAUUGCUUGAAUUUUAUAAUGCUCAUUUUUUCUAAUAAGAAAGACAUUGAUAUUUUGAGAAAUAUGAAAAAUAUUUGUUUGUUUUUUCAAAAAUCACGUGAUAUAGUUAUUGGAUAAAUGUUGCAUCAACAUGGAAUGUUGAGCUAGAAAAAAGUGAAUUCAUAUAAUGUUACCCUUUCUUAUUUAGCUAUUUUCCACCUGAAGCGCAAAUUGACUGGUAUUUUUAUUUUGAGGCGAUUAUAAUAACUGCUUGGAUUGCCCAGUUUUCCAAAAACUAGUCUUAACUCUGAAAAUACUCCAAAUACACACAAUUUUAAAUACACAUAACAAAAAUACAAAAAAAUAAAUGAAUAAAUAAAAAAAAUACUAUCUCUUCCUUCUCCUACUUACCACCCACUACUCACAACCACCUAUCACCGCCAUUAUCUCUCCCCUAUCGCAUUACCACCCCUUCCCCCUCCUCCUAUCUCCUUUCUCUACCUCCCUCUCCCUCUUUCUCAUUCCUCCUCCUCUUUUCCCUUCUUCCUUCUCCCCUUGCCUUCUUUCCCCUCCAUCCCUGUUCCCCAGCAACCCAUCUUUUCCUCCUCCCUGUUUGGUUGGGGUUGUCGGAAAAAAGAAAGGAAGAUGAGAAGAGAGAAGGAAAGAGAGGAAGACAGUAAUGGCCAUACCAAUUGGUGAUGGUAAGAAAUUUUUAAUAAAUUCUAAAAAUAUUUCAAUAAAAUUUUAAUUUUUAAAAAAAUCUAAAAAUAUAUUUCAAAAACAGCUAAUCCAAAUAAAUCAUUUACCGUUGAAAUUUUUCAAAUACAAUAAUGUUAUAACAGUAACGUUUUUAAAAAACACUUCUAAAAACACUACCAACCCAAAAAUUACAUGUAUUGUAAUAUGCUUAAAGGCCGAAUUUGCGUGGCAUCAACACCGCAUGCACUACGCUGCUCCAACAUUAACUACACCAAGAAUUAUAAUGCAAUUCCCGUUCCUUAGUCCUUCAUAUUUGUUUGGACGCGAUUACUUUCGUUCGUUGUUAUUAAUCAUAUCAAUGUAGUCGGUCAUACGUCUAUUCGAAGCAUUUGAUUAGUUAGCCUAGGAAUUGUGAUGUCACCAUACUGUAUUAGAUUUAGUAAACACUCAUCAAUACAUUUGAAUCAUACUGAAAUUGUCAUGCGAAUUGACGACGUAUUACAAUUUACUGCCCUACCUACAUUUAAUCAAGUCAAAAUACAUGUGCUGAUAUUAAAGCCAGUUUUGAGGGCUCCGUCUGAUGGAAUCCAUGUCGGCAACAUCCGCAUAAAAAUUCAAACCUACCUUUGAUGGUGACUAUCUAGCGACGGAAAAAACGUGUCCGCCAUCAUCGUUUUUCUCUUUUUUUUUUCCCAUGUCCCUUGUUGAAAAGUGGAUUUAGGAAGAGAAGUGAUUAACCGAUUCCAUGGUUUUUUUUUUUUUUUCUUAUGGCUACGAUAAUAUUUCAAAAGGUAUAUAAGCUGAGUCAGACCCAAACUCCGACUGCACUAUAUCAAAAAUUAAGUAUACUCGUGCUAAUAUUUUAACACUGUGAUCCAACUGUUACGGCUUCACGUUCCUCUCCACUCUCCUCUCUUUAAUUUUCUCAAACGCAAAAUUAUGGUCCCGGGAUCCCGACUCCAACUUUCAUUAGGAUACGUGUUGCAUGUAUCGGGGCCCUCAUGCUUCUUCUAUGGAAUGCAAAAGCGUCCUCGCGGGCCUUCUUGAUCCUAGUUCAAUUUUAUCCAUUCCACCUGUGGAUAUCGGCCCUUCAUUAGUCCGUUCACUCCUUGUCGACAAUUAGACAUCUCGUCUCGGACAUCUUCAGAUGAAGUGAUCAAUGAGGUGAUACUGAAAAGGCGUCCUACCUCACUUUUUCCCUUGCUCAGGACUACCAACAUCUCAACUAUUUGCAUGAUUCAUGAUUGAUAGAGUGAUUUGAAUGCUAGUCACUCUGCUGAUUAGACGUACACCUGACACUGCUGCUCUAAGCUGAUAACAGGUAGAAGGUAGAUCUCAUCAUUUCUUUCCUAGAUACGAGUGUUAUGAAUAUUUAUCUAAUACUCCCAAAUGAAGUACGUAAUCUAACUUGCAUAUUAAACCCUUGAACCAUAACUAACUUAAGCAUUAGAGUGAGAAAAUUUGACAGGUGAACUCGUGCGUUCUCGACUCGAUUCAUUUGACCAGAAUUCACAUCAUCACUGCCCUUCCUCGAGUCUUGGGGCCGCUUUGUCGAUUUAGAAGUUACUACUGCCUGGAAAUAUAGCAUAUUGGAUAAUUGGGACAAUUUGAUCACUUUAUAAGGCUAAGAAUCGUUGUCAUAUCAUAAAAUUGGUUUCUUUUAUUUUCAUAUUAAGUUGGAAGAUUGGAGAGUAGGGUUUAUAUUUUCAUGCUUGCGGUAUCAAAAUCUGCACACGGGCUCUUCUAAAUAUAUGCCAUACGUGCAAGAUGGAAUCUUAUCAAAAUAGAAGUUUGCCACGUACAUACAUGCACUCGUUAUUAAUCCUAGUUUAAAAAAACACACCUAUGAUGUGCAUAUUUUUCAAAAGAAAAUUACAGUAAAACUUUUGUAUAAUAAAAAUGGUAGAAGUUAAUGGUUAGUAAAAAAAAGACAGUUAAUGAUUAAGUGAAGUACGCGUAUAAGUAGUUGCGAUUAAUAGGUUGUUGAUGAUUUUCUUCUUUCCUGGCCAUUUGAUUGGAGAUGGCAGCAAGUCUUGGAUAUAUAAAAUCUGAAGGGGUGAGCACAUGCACUAUAUAUAUAGUAGCAACAGUUAUAGCAAAAGUCAUGUAAAAGUGGGGAGUAUAGAGUAUGAGAUGGUUGUAUGGUGCUCUUCAUGCAAGGGUAAAAUUGAGGUAAAAAUGAUGACAAAAAUUUUAACACCAAACUCAUGGCUAAGACUUUGUACAUAGUUAGAUCAUAUGCAUCAGGCUGCUUAUAGCAAACUAUGUGCACACAUAUUCUCAUUACGAGUACACAAAAAGAAUGCUAACUCGUUACACUUAUUUUUGUUUGGUAUGCGUGUUCGUUCUCCAAUUUCAACAUACAUAAACUGAAACAUAAGUCCACGAAAUUCUAAUAGCCAAAAAAAUCAAACAACAAAAUCACGCAGUUUUCAAUGACUAGCUUCUUUAAUGAUUAGGAGGCGACGAAUCUGGGCAAUAAAACAAAGAAGAUAUACAUGUUCAGACGCUCCAAAGAUAAGUUUAUUUGAGAACGAACCCAAUUUUCCUGUUGAAGUUAAUUACUUCUUGCAUUGAUCAAGGAGGAAAGAGAGAAAGAAAGAAGAAAGAACACAGGGGCACCCUACCCUACACAGCCCCAUUCCCAAAAGAGUUCCCCUGGUCAAACAAUCGAUUUAUCUUUAAAAAAAAAAAAAAAAAAAAAGCGCACAAAAUGAUAUUAUAGCAGAGUUGCCAGUUGCAAGUUAGAAUGCAGUACAAACUAUAUAUGACGUUUGAAAAGGAAAAUAAUAAUCGACUUGUAUCAUUGGAUAUUCAUGAAACCCUAAGUAUGUAUGUAUGCAUUCAAGGCAGAACUCCUACUAACAUACAUUGACUUGUUAUAUAUAUAUAUAUAUAUAUAUAAAUAUAAAUUAAAAAAGAGUGUGCAAGAAAAGAAAUGUUGGAAUCUGUUUUGAAUUAAUGAAUGGGAAGGCAAUUAAUAUACAAUCUGCCAGCUGGUUAGGAAAAAAAAUUCUGUCCCCUAACACUGAAUUGAAUAUUGAAGUUAACGAAUGACUGAUGAAAUCUACUGCCAAAUAAGUAACGAUCACGAUCAUUUCUAACUUCUGUAACCCUCCAAGCAAUUUCCCCGCUCCUAAGAUGGAAUGUGCUCAGAACCGCAAAUUUGUUUGGACAAAAAAUGGACCAACUUUUGUACAUAUAUGGUUAAUACGCAACCAUUAAUAAUAAUAGUUUCAACCGAUGGAUCAAGUGCUCCUAAGAACGGCUGGGCUGUACUAUUGGUUAAUUUGUAUCAAAACGGACCAACUUUUGUACAUAUAUGGUUAAUACGCAACCAUUAAUAAUAAUAGUUUCAACCGAUGGAUCAAGUGCUCCUAAGAACGGCUGGGCUGUACUAUUGGUUAAUUUGUAUCAAAACGGGAAUUAGCGUUCUUUUUUUUUUUAAAAAUAAAAAAUAAAAAAUUUCGGAUACUGGAGAGGAAAGGUAUCAAGGAAUAAGGUUGGAUCCUCCGUCCCCAUCAUCGUUGUCCCCGUGGGCGGCCAGCGUCAACUCCUCAGCCCUCUUGGCCUGGUGCUUCCAGUCAGUUUGGACCAAGGUGUAAACCAUGAGGCUCAAGCAUGCAGCCUGGGAUGCAAUCAGACCCAGCCACAGCCCCCGGAAACCUAUGUUGAGCUUGAAUGCAAAUACUACCGAGCAGGGUAUCCCCACCAGGUAAAAGGCGGCAAGGUUUAUGCGGACGCCGACCCUGGGGCGUGCAGAGCCAGUGAGGGCACCGCAGGCAGCGGUCUGAGAAGAAUUCCCCACCUCAGCCAACCCCAAAAUGGGGAGGACACCGGCAAUUAAGCCCAGAACCUGGGGGUCGCUGGUGUACAGCUUUCCCCAAACAGACCUCAGGGCCACACUCAAGCCGAAGGCUAACGUCCCAUAAGCGAGUCCGACGCAGAGACCGAGGAGGGCGGCAAAUCUGGCUCUGGCGGGCUGACCGGCCCCCAAUUCGUGGCCGACGCGCUGGGAGAUGCUCAAGCCGAGGGAAAAGGGGAAGACGUAGAUGGUACCGGUGGUCUGGAUGAGGAUGCCCAUGGCGGCGACGCAGGCCUCCGGGUUGGUCAACAGGCCGCUCAUAAAAAGGAUGAUCUCGUACCACCACCACUCCAAGCACACGGAGAAGAGGCUGGGGAUGGCGAGGCUGAGCAAGGGCCCCCAGCCUUGGAGGACGGAGAAGAGGGUUGCCCCGACCCAGGGCUUGAUGGCGACUUUGGAGAAAACGAGAUAGAGGAGCAAGCCGGUAUUCAUGUUGAGGGUGUAGAAGACGGAAGCCAAGGCGAGGCCCUUGACCCGGAGGUUGAGGUGGGAUACAAGGAGGUAGGUGAUGGGGAGGUGGAGGAGGGUGGAGCAAGUGGCGACAACGGUGGCGGGGGAGUUGAGGCCCUGGGUCCUCAAGAAGGAGCGCAAGGGGGUGAUGUGAGCGUGGGCAAUCAACUCGGGGAUGGAGUAGACGAGGUAAGCCUUGGCAACGCGCAAGAUGACGCGGUCCUGGCCGAGGCGGAGGAGGACAGGUUCGACGUUGAGCCAGAGAAAGGUGAUGGGAAUGGAGGCGAAGAAGAGGAGGAGGAAGGUUUUGAUGUAGGUGUGGGAGAGGACGGACAAUCGCUUGGCGCCGUAGGCUUGGGAGCAGAUGGGUUCCAUCCCCAUGCAGAGGCCUUUCAUGACGGAGAAGCCGGUGACGUUGGCGAAGCCGAUGGCGAGGGAGCCUCCGGCAAGUUCAGUCUUGCCCAUGCGACCCAAGAAGAGCAUGGAUAUGAUACCCUUGGAAAACACCAGCAGCGUCGUCAGCGCCACUGGCAAUGCAAUCUUCAUCAGUGAGAAGAGCUCUUCCCACACCUAAAUUACGUACGUACAAUUUAUUUUUCAAAACAAAAAUUAAAAUAAAAAAAAAAAUUCUCGUACGCGUAAUAUAUUAAUACUACUCCCUAAAUGGAUCAUUCAGACAAUAAUGAUGAUGUCAUCUUUAAUUACAUCAUCAUCAUGAUGUAAUUAAUAAACCCCAACGGAUCUAAAUUAUUAGUAUUACUUAUUAUUAUUACUACGUACUCAUGACUACGCGAUGCUAGUAAAUAAACAGUCGUUCGAUAGAAAAUACUACUACUACUACUAGUCUACUACACAUAUAACCAACAGCGAAAAAGAAAAAAAACAAUAAUAAUAAACUAUAAUUGAGAUUAUGGGCUAGCUGAUGAAGGCGUGCAAGAGGUAGUAGUUGGGUUGCAGUAGGGUAGAGUGGGAUGGAUGCACAUUUUCACGUGCCUGCACGCACAUACACAUCUGCCAUCCUGCAAAUUUUCAGAGUGUCCAAUUAAUUAAUCCCUCCCCCACCCUCAGCUUUAAAGAUAAUUAAUGAUAAUCAAAGUAAGGACACGUGAUUUGCACUUUGGAUGAACAAAACUGUAGAUCAUCAGAGAUGAGGAUCGAUCAGGCUGUUCCCAUUGCUUUGAUUUGAUGCUGGUCCAAAUCGAAUCUCCCAACCAUAAUCAAAGCAUGGAGUGGAGCAAAGCAAAUUUGGCUUGGUAAGCUAGCCUAGCGGGUGAUACGCAGAAUGAAGUUGGUGAUCUCUCUCACCUGAGCAUAUGAUAAUUUCUACUGCUACAAAGACAGAUUUCAGAUUUUUGGUGCUGGUUUUAGUGGCAGCUGCCAAACACACGAAUACGAACGAACGAACGAAGAGGCAAAAAUUCAUCGAGGACAGGACAGGACGAUCAAAAUUAUUUACUAUUUAACAACGUAUUGUAGUUUGAAUAUUCCUUUUUUCUUGCACGAGCAAACAAACAAACUACAACUACAGGCGCCUACCCCAAAUUUCCACUAUCCUAUGCAUUAUGCAAUAUGCAAUAUGCAAUAUGCAAUAUGCAAUAUGCAUGCAUGCAUGCAUGCUUCACCGUGGAGAGUUGACCGUCCUUUUCUCUAGCUAGUUGUUACUGGCAGUUAAUUAUUACGAGGAUGAGUGUUUUUCUCAGGUCGCUGGUAUUGAAAUUUGUCAUGAAUGAAUGAAUGGGUACAUCUAAUUUUCCUGUCUCAGGGAAAGCACGCAGGACCCAAAAUUAUUAUGUGAUGUGAUGUGAUGUGAUUUCAACUCGAUCGGAACACAUACAUACACUCAUUCAUAUGGGUUACUAUCAUAAACAUAAACUUAGCAUGCUAAUGGGAAAGAAAGGGUAGUAGCUAGUACGAAAAGAAAGAAAAAAAAGGACCCGCAAGGGUGGGUUGGUUGCUAGGCAGGCAGGCAAUAACAGGUUAUUUUAAGACCCAAAUUGUACGUUCUGCCGCCCGAUCUUUGCAAAAGGAAUGCCAGAUCACCCACGUACUCACCAAUUAAUUAUCUUCCAAGUUGAAAGCAAGAAAAUUAAGCGAGGCAGAGAGAUAAUACAAAGUAAUUAAUUAAACAGUACGUGUGUGGUAAAAUCAAUAUGAAACUAGUCCAAAAGAAAGGGCUUCCGGCUUCUCUCACGACUUGGCCCAUCAUGACCAUCAUGAUCAUGAGUCAGGGAGUAGGGGAACAAAACAAAUCAAUUCUGCACAAAUUUUAUUACGUGCAUGUUAAUUUGCUCGGUGAGAUAAGAAUGUGCAUGUUUGCACUUUGCACGCACAUGUGCUUGUGCUUGUGCUUGUGCUUGUGGGGGAGCCUGCAGCCAGAUUCUUCUAAGUGCCCCCUUUAAUUCUGAUGUAUACAUAUAUAUAUAUAUAUAUAUAUAUAUAUAUAUAUGUAGCUGCUAGAGUAGUACCAUCAUGACUUACUGCUACUAAUACAUUCCAAACCAUCGCAUAAAAGUAGAUGUUUUCCCGGUCUAUCGGGAAGGGUCUGCCUUUUAAAUUCUAGGCUUGGGAUAAGCUAAGCUAAUGUUGCUUGUUUAUACCGCUAAUCAUGUUAAUUACUACUUCUAUGACAUGCCCUUCUUUUAAUUACCAUGCUUGAUUUCGUGGAGUGGUCUUUUUCUAACGAUCAACUACGUACUGAAAUUAUAUGAACCUCGUAAAUAGCUAGCUUGUGCACAUGAAAUUAUAUGGACCACACUGGGCUAUUCACUCUUUUAAUUAAUUAAUUAAUUACUCGAAAAAAAGCUAAAAGAUUGGUAAGGAAGGAAAAGUAGGGUUGAGCGGGGUAAGAUAGGAAGGAUUAUAUAUAAAUAAGUAAGAGAUACUAAAUUCAAAACUUAUUCUUUUUUUCUUUUUUUUUUAAAAAAAAAGGCAACCAAACCCAAUUUACACCACACACACCAGCUUAGAAGUUAGAACCACUCAUGCAUCCUCAACAGUAGCGUCAGAAACCCAAAAAACAAAAAAACAAAAAAAAAAAAAAAAAAAAAGAAGAAGAAAUGGUGUCGUCAAUCAAACUUUUAAUAUUAAACUGAUCCUCUGAUCUGCAUGCUUGCUCCUGCUGCUAGCCAGCGCCUAGAGGACUGUUUUCUUUUGACUAGUGAGUAGUGAUCCAGUCUCCAUGUAAUCUUUAGCGGGCUAGUUGGGGAGGAUCGGAGAAAGAAAUGGGGUGGCGGAAGCGCGGAUAUAUAGCAUACAGGGAGAGUGAUGGUGUGAUGUCAGGAUGGCUUACCUCUUUCACCGAUAUUCUCUGGAGAAAUUGGCAGCCACAAGCUCUGCUCUCUCUUGCUCUUCCAUUGUCUCUAAUUUCCUCUUGGCUACCUUGGUUGCUUGUCAUGGUGCUGUUAACGCCUUCAAAGCCUCGAAGUUCAUCCACAGCGCACGUGUCGGCAUGAGAGAGGAAGCGACGAACAAAACAAUGAGGAGCUACAAACAAAGGGAGAAUAUAGCAGGUAGCAGCAUAUGAUGAGAAGUUUGAUUUAAGUACUAGGAACUGAACGACAACGGGGAGUAGUGGGCAUAUAGUAGAUGCACCCAAGAAACUAGACAAAUAUAUCCAAUAACAUAUAUAUUGUUUACGAGUUUGUUUUAAUCCAGCUUAAUUAAUUCUGUUUUAAAUUUUACGCGUGCAGCAAUCUCUCUGCACUAAGUAAAACAUAACUUGGUUGGAGUAUACAAUUGAUAGGGAGUAUAUGUGUUAGUACCAUAAUAUACGAGCAGAGGAAGAUGGGAAUUAAAGUGCGGAAUGAAUGAAUGAAUGAAUGGCAAUGGGGCUGCUAACCUUAUAUAGUAUGUGUAUGCAUAGAGUGGUAGUGUCUUCAAAGCUGCGUGCGUGCGUCCGGUCAUAACCUUCCGACCUCCUCGGCCCACGGCGUUGGAAGUCACCGGUCUAGAGGAACGAGCAAAAGAAAACCAUAUAUGGUGUUUUGUUUUGGGACAAGGAACAGCAAAGAUUGGGAAUGCGCAUACACAUGCAUGCCAGAUUUAUAUAGACUCUUUAAUUAAUCUUACAUUCACAGAGCUAGGGUAGCUCAUAAACCCAAUUGAAAAUUGUGAGUUGUACUUUGGCACGUCAGGGACCAAAAAUACAUAUAAUGAAUGAAUGGUAAACUAAUUAUAAUCCCUGCAAAUAGCUAGAGAGUUCGUACGACUAAACAUGCAAAAGUUAAGCUGCGUAUGGUAUAGCCCACUAACAAUGCAUAUGAGCGCUUCUUCAACUCCUCCUGGCGGGGGCUUUUGUUGGGCGUCCAUUGCUGCCAUUAAUUAAUUUUUUUUAAAGUGCCAAAGCCCCUUUCUUUGGCAAAUCAUAUACACUUACUUGCGCAUGUAAUUUGCUGCUAGUAGUAGAUGUAGAUUUCAAACUUUGUAACACGCACCUGCUGUAGCUGUUCCACUUUUGGUGUGCACAAUUAUUGUUGUGUUUGAGUUUAAUGUAAUGAAAAGGGGUACCGGGGAAGUUGGUUGCUUUGGUUUGAAGAGUUCGCUCACUGCUCCUAUCCUAUUCCAUUCCUAUCAACGACGUUCUUUUCAUUUGUAUCGCUUCCUUCCUGCAGGUCUUUUCUUUUGCAGAGUUUCUUUCUUGGGCUUCUUAAUUAAUUUGAGGGAAGGAAUAUAUUUGGUGCGGACAAUCAUAUUCAAACUGUGGCCUUUGGAGGUGGUAAUGUGUUGCAUGGCUUGUUUGUUUGUCCCAUGCGGGUCUGUAUGUGUGUGUGUGUGUGUCUAUAUAUAUAUAUAUAUAUACACACACACACACAUAUAUAUAUAUAUAUAUAUAUAUAUAUAUAUAUAUUUUUUUUUUCGGGUGAAGAGAAGAGCAACCACAUAUAUUCAUAUAUAUAUAUAUAUAAAAGAUACCAGAAAAUACCUAGUACGUACUGCUGUACUUGCUAAAUAUUAAUAUACCAAAUCAAGUGGCAAUAAUACCUUUCCAUAUCACGUGUAGUUAAAUGUUAUGAGCGGACCCGGCUUCGUUGAUUUUCCAGUUUCCAAAGGAAAUAGUUACUAGAAGUUCACUGAUAAAUACUAAUAAUCAUCGAUCUAGCAAGCCUAUGUUUCGAACUCCACCAACGGGACAAGCGAGAGCAAAUUCAUAGCUAGAAAACGAAAAUUAAGAGGAAAAAGCCAAAAAAAUUAAAAAUAAAAAAUUUAAAGGCAAAAAACUUUUAAAGUACAGAUUAUUAAAGUGAUUGAGACGGGAAAGAGGAACGCCAAGUGAAAUUUCAAAAGCUGAUGCUAUUCAAGAGUCGAGACAGAGGCAGAACGUGCUUUGUGACCUUAAUUAUUGGCUAUCUGUUGCCUUUCAACGAAGAAAUCAGAAUUAAAUCACUAACCCUUAAUCCCAAAUAAAUCUCAAAAGCCGGCAACUCUUGAGGCCACUCAGGAACUAAUAAUCUAACCCCAAACCCUCCCUCCCAAAAUGAUCGAUGUGGCUAUCUGCUGCCUAGGGCUCCACUUUCAUAUUGAAAAUCAUCAUAUCUUGCCUGAGAAAAGAGCAAAAAAAAAAAAAAUUUUGAACGUCUUGUCUAAAUGUCAAUGCUAUUAGAUAAUCUACAUAUAUAUUUGCUUCAUAAAAAGGUUGCCAACUUGGAAUGGAGAAGAGUGUGGCUUCAUUUAGGUUUUGACUCUUGACCUCUUCGAUCGUAUUUCUUUCGUUUAAGUAGAAUUAGCUGCUUAAUUAAGUAAGUAGCCAAUGGAUGCGGAGAUAAUCCUGUCCUGUGUGUGUAAAGAGGACAACAACUCGGACACCGCUACUUUUGGUGAAGAAGACAAUCCUCUGUAGUCCACAUGACAGGAUCCCCCCAAAAUUCCAUUCCGCCUCUUUUUGGGUGGUGAGGGAGAGAAGGGAUUGCAUUAAGACCAGGUUAACAAAGAACACGAAUGAAUGAAUAAUGGUGGCUUACGGCCUCUGCGAUAUCGGCGCUGGUGAGGAUUCAUUGAAUUUUUUAAGCAACAAAAUGGAGUUUGCAGCAUCAACUGAGACAUGCAUGCAUGUUGUUGCGAUCGAGUAGCUAAGAGCCCUCACAAUUUACUACUCACUAUCUGUUCAUUUAUUUGGGUUUCGCUCUCUCUCUCUCCCCUCCUCCUGUCUCUCUCUGGGUCACGGGCGUUUGGGCCACCACCUUCUCCCUCCCUCGCACUGGUUGGUGGUGUUGAAGGAGGUAAAGAAAGGCAAGUUGGCAAAAGGUUUUUGUUUGUGGUUUAGGGUCUUUUCAGAUCUAUUACGGACCGACCGCACAUAAUUAAUUAACUAUACAUAUUAUAUACACACACACACACCUCCCUGAUCGCCUCCUUUUCCGUCUCACCGCCCCAUCUCAAUGUGAAAAUGAUAUGCUUACUUGACAAUUAACAACAACACAGUAGUAGACUAUUUCGAGUCUUGGAUUACAAAGCAACCCACCACCAAGAAGAAGACAGUAACUUUUAUUUUUGAUUGGAUUUUGGGCAGAGUCCGCCCCAGCCGGGCGCUGCAAGCAAAACGGUGAACAACACUUGCGUCAGUACGUCCGUACCUUUUACCCAAUUUCGCAUUGCCAUUACGCUCUUACGUGCCUGCCUGUGGCUACUUUCUCCCAAUUUCAGUCUUUGACUUGUGCGCUCCUCCUCCUCCUCCAUCUAUGAAUUGAUCUAUCAUGCAAUAACACAAUAUAUGUACCAAAGCCAACUUUUCACGGUACUUUAGCUUCGAAUUAUGCAAACAUACUUUUGUCUCGAUAUAUGUCAUGUCCGAAAAAAAUAAAAUUAAAAUCUUCCUUCCAGACUGGUACUUUUAAAAGGAAAGCCUUCCUUUUUCUUAAAAGCAUAUCAAAGACUUUUUGCUCCCGUCCUCCCCGUGCCAGUGCGCUGCGCAACCUGGGAUGGAAGCUCUUGGACCACUACUAAAUCUAGCCCUCUCUAACGUAUUAUAUUUAUGGACUACUACCACUUACUUGACAUACCAAGUUAUUAGGGAGAGGAGAAAACUGCCCCCCACUCGCCCUACCUCCCUCCCUCCUGCCACAUCCCAAGUACUUCCACCACGCACACUACUAUAGAAGACGGCAUACGCAGGAUGCGAGAAACGUUUACUGCAGAAGACAAACCAAUUGCAGUUUCUUUCUUUGUUCACAUGCAGAGACUAAAGGGUACGUGAGAUUCCAUGGUGAUGGUGGUGGCAUCCUUCUAAUCCUACCUAGACAAAAAGAAGGCCGCCAAAUCAAAUGAUUAGUUGGCUUGGAGGACAUGUUAACCUUUUGAUUGACAGGAGACACUAACGAAACGAGCGGAACAAAGAAUCUCGUAAUAUCUUGAACAGUAGUAUCUCCCACCUCCACCAACGUUAGAGUUUUGAGCCUUAUGGGCAAGCUCUUGAAUCUUUAUAGCCAAACGGCUUAUUUUGUCUUUCACUUUGUCUCCCUCUCCCCGACUCGACUCGUAUCCUUUUGGCCACCACUGACAAAAACAUUCCUCGCCGUCCGACAUCAAUUCAAUCGUAAAAUACUCCCACCACCCUUCUCCUUUAAUGCGUAUUCCUAAUCAUUCCACCGGAAGCAUGCCACCGGUUUACCUCUCCAGCAAUUUGCCUUGUGGUGGUUUGUGGGGACCAAAAAACACGAUCCACAUCCACGUUAUUAAAAAGCACUGCAGGGAGUUUUAUAUUGCACUAAAACUGUAAAAACAAGUGACUUGCCAAAAAGAAAAGCGACCCUAAGUUCUUAAUUCCGGCUCUCCACUUUCCUCUUCCCCUCGUAGGUAGGGUUGCAGUCUCUUUUUGGACCGGACCAAAAAGAUAAUAAUAAUAAAAACUGUAGGAGCAGCAGCAGCCGCAGCCUUUUACCUCCUGCACAAUACUACCACCGGCUAUUUAAAGUGCAUAAGCGUAUGGUCCAUAACAUGCUCACUGCUCAUUCUCUGCCUGUUUAUUUAUGACCUGCUCUUGACUUCCAAGUUUAACUUACCCCAGUACUGGACAUAACGGGGAAAAAAAACAAAACAAAAAAGAAAUACGAGACUGCAGUUAAACACAUUUCUUGUUGCACCAGUUGUAAAAUCCCAGGCAGGGGGGAAAAAAAAAACUGAAAACCCUAAUUUUCCCUCCAAACUCGUACAACCUCACGAUUCUCUUGGGAACGUUACAAGAAUGGAUGGACCUCAGAACCUCCAAUCAGAUCAUUCAACUCUUGCCACUCCCCCUGCUGCAGCCAUAUGCUCCAGUCUGCAACAGCCUCCCUCACAAAUCUGACAUUACCAAUAAACUCUCCCAGUUAGUUCAAUAACCAAAGGGACAGAAGCAAACCAUUCAUAUGAACUUCAAAGCUCAAAACUGUUUGCCAAAAUGGACGGAACUCAGAACCUCCAAAUAGAUCAUUCAACUUUCGCAACCACUCCUGCAGGCAUGCUACUGUCUGCAACAGUCUCCUUCACAAAUCUGACAUUGCCAGCAACUCCCAGUUAAUUUUGAUAAUCAUAGAAAAGAUGCAAAGCAUUCUUAUUAAAUUCAAUAUCAACGCUAUGCACUGGAUAUAUAUAAUUAGCACAUAUGAUGAAAUGCGUUCUAUGACUGGGAGAGAAACAAUACCGUGCCAAUUUAUCACGAGAUGAUUGCAAAAUGUAGAUUGCGAGAAUGAGUGACAACAUAAGUCCUGCUUAUACAAGGUAAGGGAGCAAAAUUGUCAAACUAUUACAAAAGCCAAGUAGGCAUAUUAUAGAUAUCAAAGUAACCAAACCAUUCAACCAGACACACUUAUGGUCCCCAAAGAUGCAGUUCUUCUCAUUAAAACUCUUAUAACCAUCAAGUAUUUGCUUCUUUCAACAUAACUUUGUUCAUAAGAGGGAAAAUGAUUUAGCACAAACAGUAAGAUAAACCAUGGGGAAAAGAGAAGUGGGGUGGGGGAGGAAAAAAAUAAGCAAAAGAUCUAUAAAGACAUUCAGUAUCUUACAACUUAAUAAAGCCUGAAAAUGGUAAAAUGAGUAACUUCCCUCGCAACAAAGGAUAAAAUGGUACCACCCCAUAUAGAAGCACCCACUAAUGUUAAUAAGCAACCAACUUCUAACUUUUCUUCCAUCUUUUACUUUCAUCUCCUAUUUUGUUCCUUUUCCUCAAUCAACUUUUCUAAAUUUGCUAACAAGUCGAGGGCACCUAUAUCAAUAGUAUGAGUAAUUGGCAUAAAUAGAGUGAACUUGAAAUCAUGGAGUAACGUCAAAGCCUGAUCUGUUUGCUUUAACACUUACAAAUCUGCUAAACUGAAAAAUGGAAAAGUUACUCAAACAAUCGCAAACACAUCUUACUAGUUUAGAAAAGCAAAACAGUUGCUGCAAGAAUGUUACUAAUGGCAGUUUUCUGACAUAGCUUUUCUCAUCUUAAAUAAAGCUAAAGUGAAGGUAGAAAAAAACUUCUUGACUUUUCAAAAAGUAGUUAUUAGCUCAAAAGUAAGCCAGAAUUAGCUGUAUGUAAUAGCAAACAAUCUUCAAUGCAAUUUGCAAUGCUUCAUUAACUAAGUUCCUAUUAAAGAUGAAAUAUCAAUUUGACUAGUUUUAUGUAUUUCAUGAAUCAAGUCAAACAUACAUGUCUUUACCUGAUCCAAAGAGAACGUAGAAUCCGGAAGCUACAUCUAUCUCUGAUUGCUCUUCCCUAAUUACAGAGGACCAGAUCAAUAAAUAAACAAUACUUCAUUGCAUAAGCCAAACAUAAACUCUAAGUAGAGAUCAACAAGUCUACUAACAUCAGAGCUCAAGUUUCGAAACGAAUACGCUAAGCUGCAUUUAUUAGUUCCUAAUAAAAUUGUUGAAGAAUACAAUUUUUAUGUUUAUCAGGAAAACUCGUGUAUACAUUUUAGCGUACAAAGCGCACAAAUAGCCUAAGUUCUCCUUUCCACACGGUGACAUUAUACAGGAGGUAGUAAUGGAGUUGCAGAGUAAUUACAUCAUACUAAUCCUGCUAAGAUGACCAGUUUCUGCAUUCCUCUAAUGAUUUUAAUGUCCACAUGGCCUAUGAUCCAUGCAGCACAUAUCUGAAAUUGGACUCCUACCCUUGAUCAGAACUGAUUUACAAGCCACAGAACUGAAUUGCACGUUAUUGUGCUAAAACUCCUAUCCAAAAAAUAAAAGAAAAAGAAGAAAAGAAAAGAUUGCACAGGGGAGAAUAUAAGUCUCAGAUGCCCAGUUCACGAAGCAACGAGUCAGACAGUAAGCCGUGGAUUGCACGAUUUCUUGCAGAGAAAUAAACAUUUUCUACCCAAAAAAUUAUAACCUUCAUACAAUCUCCUCAAACUAUAAAAGACAGGCUUAGCGCCACAUUGAAUACCAAUGACUCAAAUGAAGACUUGUUGAAAUCCACACUAACCAUGUAUAUCUGACAAGGACAUGCUUUGGCCAAUGAUCUUUAUCCCAGAAUUGUUUCCUAAUGUCGGGAUGAAAUUCAAUAUCUGUCCAAUACCAAACAGAAAUUAUUUCAAUCAGAUCCAGCAACAUUUAAAUCAGUGGUUUGCAAAGGGCCUUGAUGAAACAAGAAGUUAACACACAACUCCAGCUGAACUUCAGCAUGAACACAAUUCUCAUUUUAACUUAGAACCACUUGACAAAUUUUUGGCAAAAAAAAAAAAAGAGACCAAACAUGCUUUAGGUACAGGCUAUGAAGGAAAACAAGAAAGAAGGGAUACAUAAAAAGAAAAGAACCAAUGACAGAGCUCAUUUAUAGCCAAAACAAAUAUGCCCUACAUAACCUUCCCUGUUAGGUUCUUUUAGACAAGUCGAAAACCAACUAUGUUAAACCAAUUUCUCUCUUCAUCCUAGUGCAGCGAAAAAACAAAACAGAGGAAAUGAUAAAAGUACCAUGCACCCAAUAGUGCAAAAGGAUUUGACUACAAACUCACAAAAACUUUCAGACAAUAUCAAUCCUCAGCUUGACAGCAUUUUAUCCAAGAAGACCUAAACAGGAAAAGAGACCAACAUUAACUCCAACACAAGCAGAUGAAAAAUUCUGUAGUAUUCUGUUGACCAAAGUGUCGCCUGUGUGGAUCACGGGAACUCUAGUUUGAAACUAGAAGCAUCUGCAUUCGACCAUUUUCAUGAUACAGUACCUUGAAGAAAUUGGAGAGGUUACCCUAUAACUUGUCGUUAAGCAUUACAAACUCCAGUCGUGCCUUCUACUAACCUCAGAGAUUCGACCUAAAAAUCAUUAAGCUGGUAGGAGGUACAACUUGAGGUUUUAAUGCAUAUCCAUUGCAGAAAUUAAUCUUCGUUCAAGAAAAUUUCAUUAUAAUAAACUGAAAAUUGUUGAGGUCUCAAGGUGGACUCAAAACUCUUGCCAGAUCACGAAUUUAAAAAAUUUCUGAAAGCUACCAGUGAAAAAGAAAAGUUGCAUUUAUGCAGCAGCCAAGUAGAUCAAGUAAGGAACCCAAAAAAAAAAAUUACAGCUACUCAAAUAAUUUUGUUAAACUAGUUGAAUGCAUGCUUAUGAACCUCCAAAUCAAGAUUCCAAGUUAUAGACUUUAAGGGAGAUAAAGAUUGUAGAAAUACUCAAAGAAAAUAACCUGUGUAACAGUUAGUGAAAUAGUAGCUUAACAUAAAAAAUCGCAGUCAAAUAACAACCACCCACUCAAGAGAGAGAGAGGGAAAGAAUAACGUACAUCUGUGAGGCAUAUCAAUAAUUUUGGCAGUUACACCAAGCAAGUCGCUCCCUGCAUACCUCUGUAUGACAUGAAAGAGUACCUCUAUCACAUGAAUGAUUUCUGCAGUAAGUUCUUUGCAAACUUAAGAAGUGAUCGAAGCUACACGAACCACCAUUCACAUUUCACAACAAUGGGCUUAGUGAACAUCCAAAAAUGUAAGAUUCCAAAAGAAGCAAGACCUUACCAAAUGCAUAUCUAUCAUUGGAACCUCAGAAGACUUUCGAUUGAUCAAAAAAAGCCAUGGGAUGUAAAAUUUUUCCCUCCCAACUUGAAAUGAUCUGCAUGUAAAAUUGUUCUUAACAAAAGUAAAGACUUAUUCACCAUUUUUCUUUUUCUUUUUCUAAUACAACAUAAGAAAGGGCGAAUUACUUGCAAUGUAAUAACUAAAGAUCAUCAUAUGAACAGGUCUAACAACAUGUGAAGCCGUUUGGGAAAAAAAAAAUAACAACAUGUGAAGUCCCUCAAAGAGAAAGUAGCAUAUAUAACUGAAGCAAGACUCAAAAGGACAAGAAAAUUAAUUUGUAACUAACACAUAAAACAAAAAGAUUGCCUUCUCACCAAAGAAGAAUAUAUAAGCAAAAUGAAUACAAUGCAAAUUCACAUAAUUUCCUUGAAAAUUUCAUUAUGUGAAAGUAUUUUAAAUGUAACUAAAAUCAGGAAACUGUUAGGAGUGACUGAACGAAGGUUGGAUCCAUGGGAGAGAGCACGUAAAAUGCAUAUGGCGUUGCUGUAUGAAUUCUGAUUAGAUCUUUAAACAAGAAGAAACAUGGGCAUUUUCCAAAGAGCGAAAGCAAAGAAGUAGCAAGUUAGAUGAUGGUAACUAACCCCUAACAAAUCAUCAGUAACUUCCAAAAAAUGACUUUUGAACUCUACAUGAACCAAACCUCCAAACAAAAGGAGAGAUACUAGUAUCAACAAAUCCAAACAUAAAUUGCCAAAGCAGUCACUCAACAGUUCAAGACGAUAUACUAAACCCGAGUUCAGACCCUGCUCCUGACAGCUAUCUCCAGUUAAAAGGACUAUAAAGAACAAAGUAAGACGAGGAAGAGCGUAAUUGUUUGGUGCGAAAAGAAGCAGAGAGUGGCAUCUUCAGUACAUUACAUACAUUUUGUAGGGAUCCGCUCCAGUAUAACCAGUGGGUUUUGGUAUCGGUAUCAACGCCUACGCCCAACGCGAACAACAAAAAACAAGGAAAACGUAAAUCAGAUAUGCAAUUUCAACCAAAUACCUCGCAACUUCAUAUAAAUAACAAUAAAUCUGUUUUUUUUUCCCCGUAUUGGAUCGAGGGUUAGAGAAGGAUAAAGAAGACGGCAAAAAUCAAAGAAACCUUUAUUUAAGCUCAAAUCAAACCACGAGAGGGCAAACAAAAACAAAAAACAGAGGGAAUUCGUGGAACAAAAAAUUACCUCACGGUUGACUGCAAAGGUUGGACAGUGGCGGCCUAUCAUAUCAUACCAUACGCUCCUCGACUGCAAUUUUAGCCCCCAAACCGAAUCCCCAAAAAACAAAAUAAGUGAGAAAAUUCAAGAAAAAUAAUUACUGCAAUGAAAUUGGCCAAUCUGAGACAGGACUGGACUAUUGAAUGAGGUGAAAGUAGUGUACGGACGGAAUGAUAUUGACCCAUGCGGCUCAUGGGAACGAUGUCGCCGGGUCUGUAAGCAAGAGCCCGCCAUGAUCCGACCCAAGAUAUCACUACCAAUAAGCUAACAACUUUCUUCGCCUUUUGCCCGCGCUUUUCCAUUUAUCUGUUGCUCUGUCCUGGGAACGAAGAUGACUCGACAAGGAGGAGGAAGAAUUAUUAAAACGGCAAUAGGAUCCAUGGGUAAGUCAAGAGUGGGGAUUAAGCUACUAGACAAUCCAGUACACAACUACUAUAUUAUUUCUUAUCUAAAAUUACUAUUUUGUCCUUUUUCAAAAAUAAAAUUCCAUCCAACCCGCUCUUUGUUAACCAGAACUUAGAGGAAACGGAUGUAUAGAGUGCUUCCACGGAAAGGGAAUACAAGUAACAAAUCUCGAAUUCGAAUUUUUUUAUAUGUCUUACUUAAUGUUUUAAAAUUCGGACCGUCAAUUGAACCGGUGAGGUGAAACAGAUUCAAUCGAUCGGAUCGGUUCAAUCUCGAUUCAAUGAAUUUUUUUAAAAAUAAUUUAUAUAAAUAUAUAUAUGCACAAAAUAAGACAUGCAAUGGACUAAUUUAAAACUUUAUAUGAUGAAAAGUUCACUAUUUUUUAAUAAUUUGGAUUUUCAAAAAUAAAUUUUUUAAAUUAUAAGUUAAAACAAAUAAAUUUCAUCUCAAAUUUAAUUAUAUCUACUAAAAAAAUCUUAAAUCCAACCCAAAAAUAUCACAAUAUUUUGAAAUUAUACAACAUUCACGUCUAUGAGAAUUUGACAUUGUGAACUUAAAUUUUAAUUUACGUCUUUAAGAUUAAAAGAUUGUAAUUUAAAAAAGAAAGUUUGGAGUUCGAAAGAAGUUAAGAGAAUUGAAAAUAGAAAUGCAAACUUGAUAAGAAACAAAAAAUGAGAUAAAAGUGAGUGGUUGUGGCAUUAAAUAAUUUGGGUUAAAGAAAAAUAAUUCUUUUUUAACUUUUUCCAAUUUAAUGGACAAAAACAAAAUUAAAAGAUAUAAGAAAACAUCAAUAAAUUAAAAUUAAAGAGAUUUGAUUAAAAAUGGAGUGACAAAAGAAAAGAUGGGAGAGAAAGAAAGAGUUGAAAAUUAAAAAGAAAGAGUCAUAAGAGAAUGUGGUUUUGUAAGAAAAAUAGAAAAAUGAAAUAUUGAUGUUUGUUUUAUAUAAAUAAAUUAUCAAAAAAAAACAAAUAAAAUGUGAUGGUGCAAUAGUUACUACAUUGGUCUUCUAUUGCAAAGGUCUUGAGUUCAAAUUUUGAUAGAAACAUUUUGCAAAAAAAAAAGGAAACUCAAAAACCGGUUCAACACAGUUCACCAGUUUUCGCGGUUUUGACCGGUUCUCUGGCAAAGUCAACCAAAGCAUAGAACCGGACCGGUGUCAUGGCCGGUUCGCGGGUUCAACCGGUCGAAUCGGCCAGUCCGGUCCCGAUUUUCAAAACAUUGAUCUUAUUAGAGGUACUUGAACUGUGCAAAGCAUAGCUUGGGCCCCCUAGAAAUUUAGUCCAACACAUAACAUCAAAUUAUUUUAACAUGAUGAAUGAAUAGAAAUAUAUGAGAAAAUUGAGUAUCAAAACAAUUAAAAUUGACAAAUGUUAUUUGAACUCUCAUUUUUAUUAAUUACACUUUCCCUAUUAUUUUUAUCAUAUAGUUUUUAUUUAUUGUAGGAAUACAAUUAACGAAAUAUGGAGUAUAAAUAAAAUUUCUCUCAAAAUUUGUUGUGAAAAGAAAUUCUAUCUAUGAAACCAACCCCCCUUUUAUUGUGAUUUAAAUAAAGAUUUUUAAACCACUAUUAUGAUGAUACCCAAAAAAGAGAGAUAAUUAAUACACUACAAACGCAUUGCUGCAUUAAUAGCAUUAUAGUUUUAGUUGUAACUAAACCAAAAGCAGUCAUAAUACUUCCAGUACUUUAAUAAUGAAAAAAAAUUUAGAAAGCCACUAAGACAUGACACAAUCUUCAACAUCAAUAUAGCUUAUUAUCAACUUUCACAUUUUCAUUCUUUUGAUAGAAGAAGUUAGUUCAUCUAUUUAAAUCCCGCCUUAAGGUGACAACAUUAUUCUACAACUCCAUAAUAUAAAUAGUAAGGCUAGAUAAAAAUAUGAAUUACUACGUUUCCAGAUUUACAUAUACAAAUUAGAACUAAAUUAUUAUUUUUUUAUUGCAAAAACAUAUUCCUAAUCAAAAUUGAAUUUUCUAGCAAAUUUUUGUCGAGUCACACUCUAAGCUGAAAGUAUUGACUGUGACUUCCACCACCAACUACAAUUCUUGUAUGCCAAUCCAAUUGAUACUACAACACUUGAGUAAUUAAAAAACAAACAAAAAUUAACAUUAGUUUAAAUAUAUAUACAAAAUCUUAUUGGAUCCUUCAAUUAAAUUGAAUAGACCAUAAAGUAAUUCCAAAGGGGGGAGGGGGAGAAAGAAACAGAGAAAAACAAAGGUAGACGAAAUUCUAGUUAGAUUUAUCUUGAUGAAAACAUCACAUGAUAUAUUUUUUCUCCUAAAAAAUACACAAAAUUGUAGAUAAUUACAAAAUGUAAUAAAAAAAAAGGAAAAAAUGCGAAGCAAGAAAUCAAAUCUUGGGAGGAGAAAAGAAAAGAAUGAAUUUUUGUUUUAUUCUUUGUAGAAAAUGAUCAUUGGUAUAAAAUGAAUUCUAAGAUUUUUUUUACAUAUUUUAAUACUUCACCUCUUAUCCAUGAAGAAAUUUCAAAUAACAACGUCAUCUUAUAAAUUUAACAAACAAAUGCUAGUUGGCUAUAACAUUAUGAUCGGAGAAUAGAGCAAACAUGAGCGAUUAGAGAUACAAAAAAAAAAAGAAAGAGACAAAAAUGUAAAAUGGGAUAAAAAAAAUAAUAAAGACUUCUCAUUGUUAAGUAGCUAAUCAUCUCGACGAAACAAAUGGCAACAAUCUUAGUUAGAUUAGGUUUAAAAAAUAAAAAAUGUGAGGGAUAAUAACAGUUGUGGCAAGAAGAAGAAGAAGAGAUGCAGUUGAUUUUCUCAGGGAGAAACAAUAUUUUAAUCAUUUUGGCCCAAUUGAAUCAAAAAAGUGAAGGAAAAAUUUAGCUAAAAUAAUCAAGAUUUCACUUGUCAAAAAUAUACGUAAUACACGUGUCAAAAAGAUAUGCUGCUACAGUUACUUGUCUUUCUUCUUAUAUACAAAGUAUAAAUAAUAAUAAUAAUAAUAAAGGUGAAAACUUUCAACGGCCAUUAAAUUAAUGUUUGUAUUGACUUUUAAUUAUCAAACAAUUUUUCAUCACAAAUUAAUCAUUAAAUUAACUAAACAGCACACCCGUGAUCAUUUCUUUAAUUAGUGCUCUUAAUCUACAAAAUAAUUAGAACAUAUGUCAAAAUAUAAGGUUAUAUUUGUUCACCAUGGGUAUUUUUUUUUUUUAUCAAAACAAUGUUUUGAUUAUUUUGAAAAUUAAGAGCAACAAUUGAUGAAAUGGCCAUGAAUAUGCUAGUUAGUUAAUUUAGUAACGAAUAUGUGAUGAAAAAUUGUUUGAUGGUCAAAAGUCGACACGAAUAAUAAUUUAAUGGCCACUAACAUUUUUGUCAUAAUAAUAAUAAUAAUUAAUAAAUAAAUCAGAGCUUAUGAUAGAAAUUAUGGAAAAAAAUUUUGGGUAAAGUUUCCUAAAACAUUUCUUUUUCUUUUUUUCUUUCCUCUUCUUUCUCUCUUCCUCCUUACUUUCUCCCUACCAUCAACCAUUUUUUUUCUCUCUCCUCCUUCGUCCUUUUAUGAAAUAGUAACAAUCGAUGAAAUGGCCACGAAUGUGCUAGUUAGUUAAAUUAGUAGCUAAUUUGUGAUGAAAAAUUGUUUGAUAGUAAAAAAUCGACAUGAACAAUAAUUUAAUGGCCGCUAAGAAUUUUUGUCAUAAUAAUAAUAAUAAUAAAUAAAUAAAUAAAUCAGAGCUUAUGAUAGAAUUUAUAGAAAAACUUUUGUGUAAGGUUUGCUAAAAAAUUUUCUUUUUUUUUUCUUUCUUCUUCUUUCUUUUUUCCUCGUUCAUUCCUCCCUACCAUCGAUCCUCUUUUUUCUCUCUCUUCCUUCAUCCCUGUAGACGUAGAAGGAGACGAAGGAGGAGGAGCAAAAAGAGAAAAGGAAAGCAAAAAAAAAAAAGAGGGUGCCAGCACGGUCAAAAUGCGCCAACCAAUAGUGGUAGGAAAGGAGGAAGAAAAAAAAAAAGAAAAAGAAAGGAAAACUUAUGUGUUUUUUGAUAUUAUAGAAUGUGUAUAUUGGAAAAUUUGAAAUAUUUUUAGAGAGUUACGGUAAACAAAAUUGUAAAAAAAAAAAAAAAACUCAUCUAUUAAAAACACGGCAAAAAUCUUGAGUGCCAAUCAAGCUAUUAACUUUGUUAAAACAAAAGUUUGUUUGGCUUACGAGUUUUUUUUCGAAUAUAGUUUUUAAUGCACCAUGUUGCAGUAAUAUACUCUAAAAACUUGUUAAAAACAUUCCAAAUAUAAUCUCAAAUACACCUAACAAAAUUACCAAAAAAAAAAGGCUCUACUAUCUAUUUUUUCUUCCACCACCCACUACCUACUGCUACUAUCCGUUUCCUUUACUCUUUCCCUAACCAUUGUAUCCCCACUUUCUCCUUUCUUUUCAUCCUUUCCUCCCUCCCUUAUUUCUUUUCAUCUUUCUUCCCUCAUUUGAUAGCGGUGGGUGGUUGUGGCAGAAGAGAAGGGAAGGGAGAGGAGGAGAGAAAGAGGAAGAGGAAAAGGAAGAGAAAGGAUGGGAGGAAGAGGGGGAAAAAAAAAAGACAUGGUGCGAUCGAUAAAGGAGAUAGUGAGUGCUUGUGGUAGGGGAAUUCAACAAAUUUUUAAAAAAAUUAUCAUAAUAAAAUUUUAAAUUUUAAAAUCAUGCCAAGACAUAAUAACGGUGAAAAAUUUUUGAGAUACAAUACUAUAAUAUAAUUUUUGAAAAAAUCUCGAAAACAUAGGGUACCACAUAAAGAGAACCGACUACCAUUGUAUGAACAUUACUUUUAAAACAAAUCUAUUCUGCUAGCAAGUACAUUCAAUUUUGGCACAAAAAAAAAAAAUCCUAUUUGGGGGAACGAGGGUUGGAUGGUAAGGCAAAAAGGAAUAUAAGUGAGAACUCUUAAAUUUUGAGAUCUUUCACUUAUGCUUUAAAAAAAAAAAACCUCUCAUCUAUUGUUCUACUUGGCAUGUUUGUUCAGUUCCCUCAAAACAUUUUUUUUCCUUAGGGUCAAGUAAAAAAAGAAAAAAAACACUUCCAUCAAACAACAAAAAACGAGCAGAUAGACAGGGACAAAAGUUGGCACAGUAUCUCUCUUUUUUUCGCUCUCUGUUAUUUUUUUCCCUUUUUUUUUUUGUUUAAAGUUUUCCUUUUUCUCACUUGGCUUAGGCUUGAUUUUAGUUUUUUUUCAAUACCCACCCCCGUUUGAGCAAACCCAUGUUGGAUCAAGUCUGAUUAUUGUUGUUAAUUUUGGUCUUCUGAUAUUUCACAUACUAGUGUAUUUUGGGUUUAAUUAUAGAGUAAAGUGCAAUACUAGUAACUACCAUAUUUUGGGUUCGAUUCCAAAUUAAGUGCAAUCCAAUAAUAGUAAUUUGAUGGGCGAUCUUCGGCGGCCACCUACUGGCGGCGGAUCAUCAUCAUCAACAGCAGCAGCCGGAGGAGGGGAAGAGGAAGAGAGACCGUUCCCCUCGCCGUCGACAUCAAUUAUACCAUCGUCCGAUCCGAACCCCUUGUCCAUUUCUGCGAGGCGUUGGGUCAGAGCUGAGAAAGCCACCCAAAACAUUAUCUCUAAGGUUCAGCCCACUGCCGUCUCCGAGGAGAGAAGGAGAGAGGUCAUAGAUUAUGUUCAGAGCUUGAUUAGAAAGUGUCUUGGUUGUGAGGUCAGUUUAUUAAUUUUCUUCUUUUGUUCUUUUAUUUUCUCCUCCUUUUUUCCCCUAGUCAUUGUUUUAGGACAAUCUUGAAUAUGUUAAGAUCAACUAUGUGCAUUUUACUUGAUGGUGAAUAUCUUUGGUUCUUUUAUCUUCCAGCUAUUGUUCAGAAGUUAGUUUCUUGACCUGACACGCGUGAUAAUUAAUUUUCCUGUGAAAGGGUUGGAAAUUGAAUUGGUAGUAAGUUGGGUAGUUAUCCUGGUUUUUGUUGCAUCCAUUGCUGCGUGAAGGGACUGAUGGGUAGGCAUUACUCUCCCUGUAACCAAGGUUUUCCUAUGUGGAGAGCUACUGCUUUUGAGUCAUGAUUUUAAAUGUCCACCUUGUGGUGUCAACAUUGAGACUAAACUUGAAUGCCACUUUGAAUUACCUGGCUUUUUUUUUAAUUUUCUCUGACCAUUAUAUCUCAUUCUUAAAUGUUUCAUUGGCGAGAGGAGAAUAGAACACUUUGCUGGAUGCCUUCACAUAUGACCUUUUUCCCCUUCUGGUUACAUCUUUCUCCAGCUCAUUAAGGCAACUAUCUCUUCAUGUGCACAUAGUCUCCUGAGUACCUGUGCUCGUUAGAUUCUUGAGUUUUCAUAUUAAUUAUUGUAUAUCACUCUUUUUUUUUUUUGGGGUUUCAUCAUUGGGCAAAAUCAUGCAAAGGGUAUGUUUCCGGCACACCAACCUAAUUCCUAUGUACUUGAGAAGGACAUUCGCAUGGUACACUUCAAGGCUUUCUUGAACCAAGAAAUUUUGAAACUUUGCAGUUAUAUCCUUUAUUUCUAUUUUAACCCUCGCAUUUAAAAUUUUGAUAGUCAAGGCAAUUACUCAAAUACUAGAAUUGAGACCAUAGUUCAAUGAGCUUGCAAAAAAGCUAACUGCUAGGAAUGGUCGGUGAAUGGGAAGAAAAGGUUAAGAAUUUUUUGGGUCAUUCUCGGUAGAGAGCUUUUCUGUUUUUUCGUCUGAAGCUGACAACCUACUGCACGUUGCACCACUUUGAGAAUGUUUGACCUUGCUUUUGGUAAUGAUAGAAGUCUUUUAAAUCACAGUCCAGACAAAUGAUACAUCCUCGAGAGAAGUAGUUUACAUUGGAUAGAAUGCAGUUUUCUCUUGUAUUUGGCUUACAGCAGGAUGAAUAGAUGAGCUAUAGUAAUCUCUUAGAUGCGUACACGAUUUGCUGGAAGUUAUGCUUUGUGAAGAUUUCUCAUUUAUCAAUUGUCAAAUUACAUAAGCAUCUUUCAUUUGAAUAUGCAUUUUAAAGAAAAGUGUAUGACAUAAUAUUAUUCAAGGAUUUCAUUCAUAGGCCCAUGGACAUUCAACUGGCCCUGAAUUAUGCUGUUUUGACCAUAACUGGCCCUGAAUUAUGGCAUGUACCCUUUCUUGUUUUAACUAUAUGUGUUGUUGCAAUGUAGCAUUUUCAACUUCGAAAUCUUUAUAUAUAUUCUAGUAUAUAAUUUUUUCACUUGUCCUGGUGGGACAGUCCUCUCAGCUUGUGCUGCAUUGAGAUUCUAAUGCAUGUCAUUGUUGCCUCAUUAAACUAAACUUAUGCCCAAUGUUUGUGGCCUUUCUAUUAUGACGCUUGAAGUGGUUGGGUGGCCAAAUGGUGCUAAAGAUAAGAAUUGUGAAUUUAUAGAGCUUAAAAAUAACUAAAGGGGAGACACUGUUUGUCUGAGUUAUAAAUCAGCAUUACAUUGCUAUGACAUGCCAAUUUACUGCCGGAAAUUCUAUAGGUUUUAUUGUUAUUCCUUUUGCUCCAUCCUCCUUGGUCCUUCAGUGAUUAUAUAGUGAGAAAGCUCACUCCAACUAUUUAUGGGAGACUGAUCAUGAAGCACUAUGCUUAAAAUUUGAUGCCUCAUGUGCUAUUGGUUUAUUAAUAUGACCUGAUAUAGUAAACUUCGUUUUUUUUUUGUCAGCUUUGUUUUUCUUUUAAUUGUUUUUUGUCUUUUUUGUUUAUUUAAUUUUUCAAAUGAACAUUAGUAGCAGUUCUGACCUCAUACUGCCUUAGGAGUUAAAAUCAAGGCACUGGAUGAUGUGCAGGAUAGUCAAGUUAGGUUUCGAGUUUAUGCCAAGAGCUUUAUUUCCCCUAACUGGGCUAGAGCUGAGCUUGAAAUAUUGGGCUCUAGUUGAGCUCAAGUAGAUUACAAGCUCAAAUAUUUACAGUUGAUCUCGAGUUCAGUUGCUUUGUUGAUUGACUCAAUUAGGUUCAAUCUUUUUUAUGAUAGAAGUAAAACAUGAGUAGCACAGUUUGUCUAGAAGAAUUUAAAUUGGUGAGUAUUUUCAUUUCCCUUUCUGAAGAGUAAUUUAUUGGAUGACCACUGCUAUUACUGCUAUUAUACUUAAAUGUUCAUAUCGUGGGACGCGGUUUUUUUAUUGAUUGAAAUCAGAUCUUUUCAUUUUUUUCAUGUUGCCAUGCUGGCUGCAAUUCUUACCCUCAUUUUAGUGGUGCAAUUCUUUUCUUAAUAUUUCUUAUAUGAACUUUGCGUAGGUAUUUCCUUAUGGGUCUGUACCAUUAAAAACUUAUCUUCCUGAUGGAGAUAUUGAUUUAACUGCAUUUGGUGGUACAAAUGCUGAUGAUAUUUUGGUUGAUGAUAUGGUCUCCGUUCUUGAAGGAGAAGAUCAAAAUAAGUCUGCAGAUUUUGUAGUGAAGGACAUCCAACUUAUUCGUGCUGAGGUUAACACCUUUCUUUGUCGAUUUCAUGAUAUUUUCUUGGUAUGAUGUGUGAUAAUAGUUUAUGUGUGAAAAUGUUUUAGCUUGACCUCUACUUACUUUUUAUGACUUGUUUUAGCACGACUUUUUGGGUGAAUAAGUAAAAGCUUUGAAAGUUAUUUACCAUUAAAAGCUUUGAAAGUUUUACCUUGAAGAAGAAAUUUCACAAGAAAAUCAUAUUUUAAAGUUGUCUCUAUCCUCGGCAGCAAACCUUUUGAAAGUUUUAACUGCUUAGGUUUGAACAGUUGUGUACUAAUCUGGUGUGUUAUUAAUGCUUUCCUUUUCUUGUGGCAGGUUAAGCUUGUAAAAUGCAUUGUGCAGAAUAUUGUAGUUGAUAUUUCCUUUAAUCAAAUUGGCGGCCUUUGUACCUUGUGCUUUCUUGAGCUGGUGAAUUUCUCUUUAAACUCAUUUGUUUCCAGUGGGAUAAUCAUUGAAUUGUUACCUUCCAAUAUUGAUUACUUUAUUCUUGAAAGAAUCUACUUGAUAAACCUGUGUACUGGGGGUUCUUUAAUUGAUGUGGUAAUUUAAAGGGAAGUGGAUGGAGCAUUAGGAAUUUGUGCAAAGCAUUUGAACUUGGGGAAUGAUUUUUAUGAAUGUUUAACUCUCUAAAGAUUUAAUUUAAAUGUUUCAUAUGUUGUCAUAUUACAAGUCCUGUGAUUUUUAGUUUUGGGAAAGGAAGAUAGGCUAACUUGAUAAUGUUAUUAAACUUUAUAAAAAAUCCAAGAGAUAUUGUGGAAAGAUCAUUUCACAGUUCAACGCCUAUGAUGAUACUACUUGGUUUCAGAAAUAUUUGGCUUCCAUGAGAUCUCAAUGAAUACUUGAUCUAAAAUAUUAGAUGAUAUUCUUUUAAUUCCCUUCUUAUGAUGAUUUUUUUUUUUUUUUGCAACUUACAGGUUCGAAUGUUGCUUUUUAUAUUUUAAUUUUAUGUCUAUUUCUUCCUUAGGUUGAUUCAGUUAUUGGCAAAGAGCAUCUCUUUAAACGUAGCAUUAUACUAAUAAAAGCAUGGUGCUAUUAUGAAAGUCGGAUUCUUGGUGCUCAUCAUGGCUUGAUUUCCACAUAUGCUUUGGAGACGCUGGUCUUGUAUAUCUUCCAUCUCUUCCAUUCAACAUUUAAUGGUCCCUUAGCAGUGAGUGCUCCUUUAUGCUGUUAAAUGGUGGUUAAGAUUAUGUUUGACAUCAAAUUAACCUCAUGUUGGAAUUUGGGACUGCUGAUUUUCUAGGUUUUAUUCAAGUUCUUGGACUACUUUAGCAAGUUUGAUUGGGAAAAUUAUUGCAUCAGUUUGGCCGGUCCUGUCCGCUUAUCCUCAUUGCCAGAACUCGUAGGUAAGCAAUCACAUUUGUUAUUGGCUGCUCUGUAUUGUUUUUCUCUGUUUAACCAAAGUGGGUUGUUUCUCUUUUCAGUGGAAGCACCAGAAAAUGGUGGCUGUGAUUUACUUCUCAGCAGUGAUUUUCUUAGAUACUGUACUGAUAUGUUCUCAGUACCUUCAAGAGGAGCUGACUCAAAUUUUCGUGUAUUUCAACCAAAGCAUCUUAAUAUUGUUGACCCCCUUAAGGAAAACAAUAAUCUUGGUAGAAGUGUCAGCAAAGGUAUAAAGCCAUUAUUAGUUACUCUUAUCAUGACACAGAUGUAUAGGCUUUUUACGUCUACUUGUCGGGAAACAUUAAUGCUACCAUUCUAGUUGAUUAAUAACAUUGGGUUGAGAUUUUACAGGAAUACCUUGAUAAUUAUUUGGUUCUUUGUGUAGAAACCAACUAAUUACCUGCUUCAUAUAGGAAAUUUCUACCGGAUACGGAGUGCUUUCACUUAUGGAGCUAGGAAACUUGGGCGAAUACUUCUGCAACCAGAAGAUGACAUUGCUGAAGGGCUUUGUAAAUUUUUCUUCAACACUUUGGAUAGACAUGGAAGUGGAGAGAGACCUGAUGUACAAGGUCCUCGUUCUAAUUAUAGGUAUAACGGUUAUAGUAGCACAUUAUCCAUUUCAGAGAAUGAUCCAUGUGCAGAUACAAAUGGAUCAUGUCAUGACAGGGUCAAUGGCCUGAAGUUAUCUGGGCUGGAGACCACGUGUGGCAGAGAAAAUGGAGAGGAAGAGGGCAUCAUUGAAGUACUUCCCUCCAACUUUUGCGACUCUCCUGCAGUUGGGAAUGCUCUGGAUCACCGAAUCUCGGGGGAUGCAAAGGACCUUGCUACCUAUAGAGUUGAUUGCCUCAAAGUUUCAAAUACUUUACCUCAAAUUUCUGAGCUAAUUGAUCGGAAGAGUGUGUCUCCAGCGGGUACACCUCGUCAUGCACCUCGUCUUUUUUUUUCUAGCUCCAUAUUGACUAAUGGGGGAAGGGGAAAUGGAAGUUCAGAUUGGGAAAAGAUAGAAAACUGUAAAAAUAAAGCUUGCCCUGGAGUAUCACACGGACCUGAUGGAGCUAAUAAUCAGUGUGGCCUAGAAGAAAAUUUCAUUGUGAGUGUAGAUGAGGAUCCAGCUACCAUCCAUCUAGCAUCAAAAGAGGCCCUGAGUCCUGAAAAUUUGCAACAUGUUACAAGGGAUUUGGCCUCAGAAAGUGCGAGUAUUGCUGAAUCUUUUAGCUCUUUGUCAGAACUUAAUGGGGAUUUGGACAGUCACUUGAACUGUUUGCAUUUUGGACGUUGGUGUUAUGAAUAUGCUUCGAGUACACCAGCUCUAACUGUGUCCCCACCACCGCCCUCUAUAUUUCAGUGGAAUAAUUCAUGGGAUGCUGUCCCGCACCCUUCACAAUUCAAGCAGAAUAGUUUCUCUCAUAAGAGCGUGAAUGGUGUUAUCCUAAAUCCUCCAUUCUGCACAGUAAAUCCGCUCUUAACUCCUGGUCUGGCUUUUGGCUUGGAAGACAUGCCAAAACCACGAGGAACCGGAACAUACUUUCCGAAUAUGGUAUGUCUGUAUUUUACUGCUGGUGCAUUUGGCAUUUGAAAUUUGUUUGCUGACUUAAAUUAUCAUAAUCUGUAAGCUUGAAGUCCUCAGCAGGAGCAAUUCAAUAUCACCGUACCCGUUUCUUUUUUCUCAUUCUCAGUGGUGAUUUUCAGUGUCCAAUAAAGAAUUCCAUUUGCAAUCUCUGCAGAAUCGACUCCCUCAACGUUAUAGGCCUUUGGCAGGGAAAGGAAGGAAUCAGGCAUUGCCAAGGUCCCCGUGCAACAAUGGGAGGAACCUGAUAUUUAUGGAGACUAAUAUGGUUGAUCAAAGUAGUCGUGAUCUUUCAAAAAAUCCAGUCUCAGUUGACCAAAGUGGUGCCAAGGUUGGGCCUUCAAAUAUUCAUCAGUCGUAUUCCCCUCGCGGAAAAGGACAUCUUAAUGUUAAUGGUCUAAUCAUGCAAUCUGAGGGUGGUUUCGAAAUUGGGUCAGUUGGGCAUGUACCAGUUGAAGUGCAUCAGCUGGACAGAAGCAGGCAUCACCAACAGAGAUGUCUUAGUUCAUCAGAAAAUUCCGGACCUCUAUCACCAACUAAGGAGAUGCGCAAGUUGAAACCUGUGUUAAAGACAGAGCGUGAUAGGUACGAGAAAUCUCCUAUUUUACCGGUUUCACAGGUUUGUGGACAUGGCUGGAAUUAUUGAAAAAUCUCCUGUUGUUGGACUUGUAGGGUUUCAGUCGAGUUAUCAUACCAAUUGAAGGAUGAGGAUGAUUUUCCACCGUUGUCCGUCUGAAUGGGGUCAAAUUGUUACCACAGUAAGGAUAAAUUAUUAGGGGAGCCCGAGCUAUGCAGCAUCUGUGGCUAGUUGCUAUAUGGGGGGGUGAUUUAGAAAGUCAAUUUUCUUAAAAGGUGGUUUGUAGAUUCUGAGAAUUAUUUCAUCCAACUAUAGGUUUCUGUUGUUUUGCCUGUAUAGGAUUAUGCCAACUUUUGAUUCAGGUUUUGUUUUCGCCCAGCACAGCUUUGGCUCUUUUGUGACUAAUCAUGACGUUUGACAUCAUCGUGAAAUAUGACGUCAUAACGAGGUUUUAGUUCCAUAUUUUCUAGUUGGGAAUGGCAGAAAUAUUUAGAAACUGCAAGACAUCUCUACCUCUUAAAGCUCAUUUUAUAUUUCCCCUUUGGUUGAGCACAUCAAAAAGGUAAGUAUUGGUAUAAAUAUAAUAGGGCCAAUAUCCCUCUGCAACCAAAACUAUUGGCAUCGUAUACUUACGAGCACUCAACUCCCUUUUAUAUAUAUAUAUAUAUAUAUAUAUAUAUAUAUAUAUAUAUAUUAAAAAAUCGCUACUUAUUCAACUUAAGAAAUUCGUUGUGUCAUUUUCUGCUGCAUGUUUGUAGUAAAACAAAACUUUGUUUUACUACAAAUUUCUUAAGUAGUAAUACUUGAAAUACAAUAGUACAACAUAAUAUUAAUAUUAGCAAUAUAAUGUACAUGAAUAAAGUAUUUUUUUAAUCUAAAUGGAGACUCUCCGAGCUUACAAGGGGAGAAGAGAAAAGAUGAGAGGGUUUGUGAGUCAAAAAUCAAGGAUCACUAUUACCUAAUUAAUGUUCGUAUUAGUUAGGUUGGGUGGCGACAAUGAGUUGGGGACAAUGAAGUAUUUUGAUUGGAGGUUGAAAUAAGUUGAUUAUUAAUAUUGGUGAAGAGUUUUCGGUUUAAUGGCUAAAAUUAAAGCCUCAAAAUUUAGAUAUUUUGGAUUCAUAUUCCCCCUUCCUCCUCCCCGUUCUUGUACCCUAGCAUUCCACCGCUCCCUGCUUAAAAAUAAAAAACCAAUAAGAUUUAACUUUAAUCCAAGUAAGAUUUAACUUUGAAUUUUAGCAAAUUAAGACUCCCACCCUUUCCUGCUUAAAAAAUUGAUUAGAUUUAACAUUAAUUUCAGCAAAUUAAAGACCCUACUACUUAAAUUUCAGAUUUUAAUUUUCAAUUUUACCAAACGUCCUAAGAAUAUGAAAAAACACAUUAAUUGAUAUUUUAACUGAUCUUAAUUCAGUGGGAUUAUUGGUAUGAACUUGGCUUCAGUCAUGAAUACUAAAAGUUGUUAGAAUUCACUACCGACCAACAAGAACAAGAUCAACCUCAAUGAUAAACUUUUGACCUUUGAAUCAAACAGAUUCUUAUUGUAAUUAAGACGUCAGUUAUUGAAUGCCUAGGAACCACCUUUUGCUUUUGUAGUGGAUGAUCAUAUUCAUGGAUGCCAGUUUGACGUACGUCGUCGGAGAAAUUUUCUCGACAUAACCGAAAUGGUCGUCCUUAUCCUUCAUAUUUUCCCGGUCAAAAUCAGACCAUCCUUCCUUUCAAGCAAUUAACCUUCAACAGAUGUCCAGAUGGAGACUACAUCCUUUCAAGUAAUCGAAUAAACGACUUGAUAUUCCAUCAUUAAAAAUUAAUCUGAAGUGGUUGAGGCCUAAGGGAGCAUGCAGUCGUCUUUAGAAGCCAACUACUUAUUAAAAACAGCACCAUCCAAGUGUAGGCCAUUUCAUUUUUUAUAAUUAAUUGCCCUUCUCCACGCAGGGUUUUGAUAACACUUUUUAGUUAAUGAAUUUUUCCAACGGCGGCAAAACUUUUCUAAAAAAUGAACACACUAACUCACAGACUUAUAUUUUUAUUGCACUCUUUGAAUUAUAACACUUUUCUUAGUUAACAAAACAUUUCUUUCUAAAUAACUGGAUCCUGGACUUGUAUUUAUUGCACUCCUUGAAUUGUGACGUUUUCCUGAAUUAACAAAGCUUUUCUAAAAAACUAACACAUGAACCCCAGUGUAAUAGGACCCACUCAGGUGACAGUUCGGGGAUGACGACCUGACAGGUUGUCCGUAUUAGCUUGAGCAGAAGUAAGGGUAGUUCGGGCACGGCCACCGUUCCCUUUCUGGAUAGGUCUGAUGGGGUGCGGCACCCGAAUUUGUUGGAGCCAAUAGAUGGAACCCUAAAAAAGACUCCCUCUUCACCAGAACUCCUAAUCCUAUAAAGAAACUAUCACCCGAGACUCUAUAAAUACAACACUAUGGGGCAAGGCAAGGUGCACUACCUACAGUAUUCUAUAUUGUUACUCUGACCCCUGUAAUCUCGCUGACAUGGCCGUCGGAGUGUCGCCGGGGAGCCAGUCUCGCAGUCACCUCUUUUCGCAGGUCGGGUCGCACGCGUCCACCUCCUUCGCCAGCCCUUUCCAGCCCGGUUUGCGCAGUUCGCGUGGAACAGUUCGGAUCGUGUUUUGACAGUCGCAUCAACUAGCGUCGUCUGUGGGAACGAUAUCCUCUUGCGACGUCAUGCCGAGAACUAGAUCUCAGAGGAAUGUUGACAGAUCCAAGGGGAACGCGCGAAGUGACCCCGAAAACCCCCGUCAGGGCCCGGACCCAAGGGACGAGGGAACGGAACUCUCGCGGAUCCCACCUGAACAAUUGGUGCAAACGGUGGUGGCGAAUCUGCCCACUUUCGAAGCAAUCAUGAGCUAUCUCAAAGACCGGUUCAGAGGCCACCGUGACUAGGAGCCCAAGGUACGGAAGGCAGAUGGGGCCGGGCCGUUGGAGUCUAGAACAGGAAGCCCUAGCCCCCGACCGAAGCGAGCACGGAAGGAGGUCACGCGUGAACAGGUCGAAGUUCUGGAGCCCUCUCAUUGGAACUCCCGGACAGAGCACCACGAGCCUUACCAAGGAUUCUCGCGUAGGGAGCCCUCUCCAUGAAAAGAGGAGUACCUGGUACAGGACGAACUAGAUCUACUGCUAGAUCCAGAGGCGGACAGGUACACCACCUCACUCUUCGUGCCGGAUAUUGAGGACUACCCGCUGCCUGCAAAGUUUAAAAUACCAAACAUGAAGUCUUACGAGGUCACUACGGAUCCGGAAGGCCAUCUGUUUGCGUUUAUGAUGCAAAUGCGCCUCCAAACGGCCGCUGACGCCGUUAGAUGCAAGACCUUCCCCAUGUUCCUAGAGGGGAAGGCACGACAAUGGUUCCAGGGGCUGCCUCCGAGGUCAAUUUGAUCCUUCAGCCAGCUCGCGCGACUGUUCGCAGUACAGUUCGUCUCGUCACGAGCCUUCUCCAAAAGCACUGCAACCUAAUAAUAGUUCAGCAGAUGCCCGAGGAAUCACUGCGUGAGUAAAUGGUUCGAUUCAACAACGAGUGCCUCCAAGUUCGGGAUCGGGACAAUAAGGUGGUCAUGGCGGCCUUCAUUAAUAGAUUGCACAAGCAGAAGCUGUACAUUGAGUUCGUCGAGAAGCCCUUCCGAUCAAUUUGGGAGAUGUUAGACGGAGUUCAUGAGAAAGCUAAUGCGGAGGAGGCCAAUCGCCUGAAGGGUGCGCAGGAAAGACUAAGAGAAGAUAUACGCAGAAAAGACGCCAUUGCAAAGAACACGUGACCUGGUGCGGCUCAGAAAAGCACAUUCGACCGCCAACCCCGGAGUAGCUCCUGGCCAGGCGCGAACAGGCCUUUGAGAGAUAGGGGGCCUAGACUUCCCUCACCGCGUUCAGGGCUCGGAUCCUUGCGGUAAUGGAUAGGAAAGCCUCGCACGGCCUCCCUCCAGCUAAUCGGCAACAGGAGCAGGCGAGACCGAAGUUUGUAUUGCGCCUACCAUCGUGACGUGGGACACGACACUGAGAAUUAUCGUCACCUAAAGAAGGACAUCGAAGAGCUGAUCAAACGAGAGCACCUGAGACAGUUCAUACAGGGUGAACGAGCUGACCAAAAACAAGGGGGACAUAAACGAGAACGCACGAAUUACACACGGGACCGACCUCGUGACCCCCGUGACCGAACUCCCCAACCAGAAGUGCAGAAUUUAGUCGGGGUGAUUAACACCAUUGCGGGGGGAUCGGUCGGAGGAGAUAGUCACUCGAUGGGGUAAUCGCCCCCUCCUGGUGAGGAAAACUCGAGCAAACGACUAAAGAUGUACAAGGAGAUCACACUACAAGAAAACAGGCUUUUUGCAACGCUUUUGCUGUGGCACAAGGAUAAAGUGCGGUAAAUAAGCAGCAAAUUUCAAUUUGUGCUGCAAAUUUCACAACGGUUUCUAAUUUUUACAUAAAAACGACAUAGUUUUAAUAAAACCCAUAAAAGGGCACUUGGAAAGGUUAAGUGUCUUUUUCUUGAUCUUUUGUUCCGGGUCGUGUAAUGCUUAAAGACUGAAGAAUAAAUUUUGACCAAUCGAAAUACAUUUUGAACCAAACAACAGUGUCGUAAUCCCAACUCCGAACGUGAUUGCUUAUUUGGCUGCUGGUCCACGUGAGGAGGACAUAGUAAUCACUUUCUGUGAUUGGCUUAAGAUAGCCUUGACUUGCUAAAGACAGAAAACAUCCUUUUUUGAACCAAUAUUCAGAUCUUAACUCCGUACGUCGUAUAUUACCCACCUCACAAUAUUCAGAUCUUAACUCUCCAAAGAUCGAAUUCUUCAAACUUAUCUUGGUGGACCGAAUUCUUCAAACUGUAAUAGGUCAGAUACAUAGACCGAAUUCUUCCGCUCAUCCAAAACCACUGCAGUACGCAGCUCGGAUAAGAGUUUGUCAAUUUUUUCACCAUCUCUGCUUCAAAUAUAGCAGAAAUCAAAAGCUCUUACGCAUCACUAUUACAGAGAAAAAGGUAAAAAUUCUUCCAUAUGAUUUUCGAUUUCUAUGUUUUUUCCCUCGUAUGUCUUUGUGACCUGCACUCUUCUCUGAAUUUCGGUUAAUAAGAUUUGGCACAAAACCCUAAUUUGAUUGGGCAAAGUAAUUGGUCCUCCGUUGAUUCUGAAUUUUGUCAACCACAGUUGUCGAAAUUCCUACAGCUGAAAGCUCGAACAAAUUGACCCAACCAUUUGAGUCAUUGACUUCAAAAAUUAGGUCUCGCGGCAACUAGAAGAGUCUGCCCCACUACAGCCCCUGUUCUUCUGAUGCUUCUUCUGCUUUGGUAUUUAAACUUCAAGUUUUGCAUGUGUGUUUAGAUAUGCAUUCAUAUGUGCAUGAAGGCAGAUUUAUUUUUUAUAGUAAAAUUUAGUUGUGUUUUUGUAAGAAUACCAAUCUCCUUUGUGUUUGCGGACCAGAUUAAAAGGAAAUCAUGGCAUUGGAGUCGGCCUGUGGUUUCUACGCCUAGAGUUUCUACUGCUGUAGCUGAAGAGGUAACUCGCUGCUUUCUUUUCCAAUUCAGCGUUGAUACUGCAUAGUGGUGAUAAUAGUUUGACGUGCGAAGAGGCAUGGUGAAUCAAAUGAUGUUCCUGAUAUGAAAAUGAUAUUGUAGACAAACAAGUUGUUUAUACUUUUCAAGGAUGUAAUGUUGUAAUUUCAUUGAGGUUUGGUCAAAAUUGCUUGAGUUUAGAUUAGUUUUUCUUUUCUAGGCAAAUAAACUCAUUUUAUUAGUCAAGAUAAGAAAACGUUUCUAACUCAUUAAGACGAGUUUAGAUUAGUUAAAUGUGAUUUAGCCUUCUAUAGUACAAAAUUUAUUGCAUAGUUUAACAAGCUGGGGAAUUAUAUGGAAAUUGGGUAAGAGUUAAGUUAUAGAGGUUGAGUUGAGGUGGCUGUCUUUCUGGGAAACUCAGAGAACUCUGCUCCAUUUUCUGGUGUUGGCUUGUGAAGAUAGCAUAUGUGACAUUGCUUUGCUAUCCAGUUUUAGUUUUGUCUGGAGUUCGGUUAGGUUACAAUUCUCAAAAGCAGUAUUGAGACCAUGUAUUUACUGUGUCUCUAAGAUGUUAUUCAACUACGAGUUUAUGAUCAAAUAAUAUUAUUUACUGUUUCUGUCUCUUGAAGUGUUAGUUUCAGUUGUUUUCUUCCUUUUUGUUCCUCUUUCUACGUUUGGCCAUCAAAGCUUAUGUUUGCUGUAGAUAAGUUCUUGUACAUAGUUGAACAGCAAUCUAACUAUCUGAAUUGCCCAUAACCAUCAUCUGCCUAGCAAUUGUAGCUUGCUAGCAAUUAAAUGUUCUACCAAGUUGCAAUUAGGAAUUUGUAAGACAAUCUAGCUCCCCUGAUUUAUCUAUGUUUCUUUUUCUUGCAAACAGAACACUGGUUUGCAUAUUGACAUAAAUUCACCACAUUCUUUUGGCAUUGAGAAGUUGGGUUAACUGUUAACAUCGCAUUCCACUAUGAGCAUAGCAAACUGGGAUGCACAUGCUGCACUUUAUUUUUUAUUUUUCUUGCAUGUUAAUAAAUUUGCUAUUUUUCAAUUCUGUUUAUAAGGUCUUUUUUUCUUGCCUUCUCAAUCUUGUUUCUUGUAGAAUGGAUGAUAGGUCUUGGAUCUUUAUUGAAGACCGAGUCAAUAAUCCGUACUUUGAAAAGUGUCUGAGUGACUUCCUUAAAUUUGCCUACAAAAAGAAGGAGGUUGGGAGUAGAAUAUAUUGCCCAUGUAGGCGAUGUAAAAACUCAGAACGAAGAAAGGAAGAAACUGUGCGUGCACAUGUAACAAUGAAGGGUUUUUGACCACUUAUACAAAUUGGAUUUAUCAUGGUGAAGAUCCAUGGGACUUCAAUCAAGAAAAUAUGAACAAUGGAGUGUUUAGGCGCAUUGAAAAUGAUGACAUGAAUGAAUUGAUACACGAAACACUUGGAAGAACACUUGAAGAGAAUUCUAACAUAAAUUUAGAAGAACUUAAAGGAGCCUGUGAUGAAGAGACUAAUAAGUUUUUUAAGUUGCUGAAGAAUGCCGAAACAGAGUUAUACCCUGGAUGUAAAAAUUUUACUCUUCUAUCAUUUGUCAUCAAGUUGUUGCAUGUCAAGUCUCUUUGUCGAUGGAGCAACAACUCAAUGACAAUAUUACUGGAGCUUCUCAAGGAAAUUUUUCCUGAGAAUGAAUUAUUUCCAAGCUCUUAUCGUGAUGCUUGAAAAAUUGUUAAAGACUUGGGUCUUAGCUACCAUAAAAUUCAUGCAUGCCCCAAUGAUUGCUUGAUUUAUUGGAAGGAGACAGAACAUGAAACCUUUUGCAGAAAGUGUGGAACUCCUAGGUAUAAGCAAAUUGUAAAACAAUCCGAUGAUUCAAGUGUACAAGCUAACAAAGUUCCAGCAAAGCUUGUUCGCUAUUUUCCUUUGAAACCACGUCUCCAAAGGAUGUUCAUGUCAUCAAAGACUGCUUCAUUAAUGAGAUGGCAUGAAGAGGAGCGCAUCAAGGAUGGUAAAUUGAGGCAUCCGGCAGACUCUUUAGCUUGGAAGCAUUUUAAUGACCGGCACCCAAGCUUUGCUAGUGAUCCUCGCAAUGUUCGUGUUGGACUUGCAGCGGAUGGAUUUAACCCAUUCAAAGCAAUGAACAAUAAAUACAGCACCUGGCUUGGCAUUUUUAUUGCUUUAGUUACUAUUGAUCUUUGUUCUUCCAGAGGGCAUCCACAUGUGACUUGGCAUCACUCCAAAGAAGAGAAAUGAAUGCAGCAAAACAAUCUCAAAUUUCGAACUCAUUAGAGGUUGUAUAUUAAUUCAUACAAUUCGAUUUUGUGUUCAAAUUCUCUGAAAUAUCAGCAGCUAUGGCCUGAUUUUCUUUUCUUCACACUUUGUUGAUAAUGUAACAGGUUGGUGAUAGAAUGAACAGGAAAGUUGGAACAAAUGAUGCUGAAAUGUACAAGGAAGUUGGAACAAAUGAUGCUGAAAUAAAUAAGUGUGAAAUGAAUAAAAAAGUUUCUUCAAUUGCUGAUAUUCUUGAGGUAUAGUAUGUGUACUUUGAGUUGGUCCUUCUAUAGAAGACCAAUUUUGCUGAGUUCCUUGUUGAUAUUGAAUUAUGCAUGACUUCCUUGUUGAUGACUAUUUGUGCAUGAGCUCCUUGUUGAUAUUUAAUUGACUAGUCUUUUGUUAUACCAGAACCAUCAUACAAAGAAGAAAAGGAGCAGGACUACUUGCAAACGACUUGCUUGAGGUACUGGAAAAGUUUCUGGAAAUAACUCUAUUCUGUCAAGUUUUUCAUUGAGUAUUUGUAUGAUUGGGAAGACGAGCUGUUUUUGUUAAGAUUUAGCCAGCUAUUUAUGGGACAUAAUGUAGUAGAAGUGGUCUUAAUUUUCAGUGUCUGUGAAAAGGUUGAAUUACAAAUUCCGUUUCAGUAUCUAUUGUUAUAUUAACGUUUUCUUCAUGCUUAAUGGGUUGGGGUUAUAUGAGCAGGGGACUAAUAGAAUACACUUUGCAGCCCUGGACUUGAUGGUACAUUGGAAGCAUGCGGAUUGGGAGAUAUGAAGAUGUUUUUGAGAGAUGUAUGAUGAAGUGUUGUACUUUUGAAAACAAGCACAUUUUGGAAUAUAUGAAACAUCUUAUAAUUGGAGCGAACAAUAUUAAAUGAUAAAGUUUGUAGAAUUUGACUAAAACAAUGUAUGGUACUUUAUUCUAGUGUAUUGUGGAACUAUAUUUUGUUAUAAUAUUCGAUUUUAGGAUAUUUGAGCAUGAUAAUUAUUGUACCAUGAAAAAUUUGAUUUCUGGUCUUUAUAUUGAUGACUUUUUUGCGACGCAAGUUUUUGUCGCAUGACAUUGUGGACAUUUUGUAGCGCAUUUUUUGUGCCGCAAGUAGAGUGAUGCAAAUGCAUGCGACAUGUUGAAAAAUUGUGUCAUUUUCUUUUGUAACGGCUACUUUUGUGACACAAUUUAAUUCCGUCGCAUUUGUGCCGCAAAAAGGUUUUCGCGGCGAUUUUUGGACUUUUUGCAGCAUAUUUCUGGCGUCGUGAAAAGUCAGUUUUCUUGUAGUGUCAUCUACGGACCUGAAGAUGCAGUGCGACUUGCUUCCAAUAACCACGAGGCCAUCACUAUAGAAGUUAUAACAUGCAACUACAAAAUUAAGAAGGUAUACAUAAACAACGGGAGUGCCAUUGACGUAUUAUACUACAAGACCUUCAAAGAAUUGCAAUUGGAGGAUAAACAGCUCAUUCCAGUUCGAACUCCCCUAAUCGGCUUCGCAGGACCGCCGGUAAGACCCGAGGGGAUGGUAACCCUCAUGGUCACGGUGGGGGUGCCACCAAAGUGCCGAACUGUCUCGUGAAUUUUGCGAUAAUGAAGGAGCCAUCGUCGUACAACAUGAUUUUGGGACCGUCAACCUUGAACGCACUCCGAGCUAUUUGUUCAACUUUGCAUCUAAGCAUGAAAUUCCCUACGCCUGCAGGGGUAGCCUAAGUGUUGGGGAUCCAGAGAUAGUUCGGGCGUGCUAUAUCGCAACUCUCAAAGGCAAGGAAAAGUUGGUAGUUCAAACAACUUGCUUAAAGCCUUGAGAGCCGGUGGAAAAGAGGGAGCGAUUGGAGACGGAUGAAGGGCUGCUCGAACUGCCAGUCAGCAGGGAAAAACCUGAUCGCUUCGUCAAACCCGGCUCGGGCCUGAGCGAGCUGACCCGGAGGGCACUGGAAGCUCUUCUGGAAGAAUAUGCAGAGAUUUUCGCCUGAAGUGCGGAUGACAUGCUCAGGAUUCUAUCCGAGCUAGCUGUGUAUAAGUUGCAUGUAGACCCCAACGUUCAGCCUGUGAAGCAGAAGAAGAGGAAUUUUGCGCCUGAACGGAAUGAGGUUGUUAGGGAUGAGGUCGGCAAGCUACUAGAAGCCAAAAUUGUCAAGGAGGUCUUUAUCCGACCUGGCUGGCCAACCUUGUGUUGGUUAAGAAUGACGACAAGGCUUGGAGAAUGUGCGUAGAUUUCACCGACCUGAACAAAUCUUGUCCGAAGGACUGCUACCCUCUCCCCCGAAUCGACCUACUGCUGGACUCGACCACUGGGUAUGACAUUUUCUGUUUCCUGGAUGUAUUCAAGGGAUAUCACCAAAUAGUUAUGAACGAGGAAGAUCAGGAGAAGACCUCGUUCAUCACGGAGUGUAGUACCUAUUGUUAUGUCACCAUGUCGUUUGGACUGAAAAAUGCGGACGUGACAUAUCAAAGGUUGGUGAACAAGUUGUUCAAAGACCAGAUAGACCGGAAUAUGAAGGUCGACGUAGACGAUAUGUUGGUGAAAAAUCGUAGUCAAGAACAGUUCAUUGCAGACCUUACAGAGGUCUUUGACGUUCUUCGAAACUCACGCAUGCGAUUGAAUCCAAAGAAAUGCACUUUUGGGGUCAGAUCAGGAAAGUUUCUGGAAUAUAUGAUAUCCAAAGAAGGGGUAAGAGCUAACCCUGACAAGGUUAAGGCUAUCAUGGACAUGACUCCUCCCCGCAAUAUUAAGGAAGUACAACACCUGGCUGGGAGGAUGGCCGCUUUGACCAGGUUCCUCUCCAAAUCGGCGGUUCGGGGUUCACCUUUCUUUAAGGCUCUGAGAAGAGGUCCCCAGUUUGAAUGGAUCUCAGAAUGCCAGAAAGCGUUUGACGAACUGAAUGGUCACCUUACCAAGUUGCCUACCUGGACUUCUCCUAAACAGGGCGAGGUCCUAUUCAUCUACCUAGCUGUGGGAGAGGAGGCCGUCAGCGCAGUGCUGGUUCGAGAAAAAGACAAGGUCCAGAGACUUAUAUACUACAUCAGCCAUGCCCUGCAGGGAGCGGAGACUUGGUAUCCCCCAAUUGAGCGCUACGUCCUGACGCUAGUUCACGCGGUACGGAAACUCCGGUCAUACUUUCAAACUCAUUCCAUUAUGGUAGUGACCGACCAGCCCUUGAAACAGAUUUUGUUUAAACCGGACAUGUUUGGGAGAAUGGUCAAGUGGGCUGUUGAGCUGUCCAAAUACAACCUGGAUUACCAACUCCGGACGGCCAUCAAGGCCCAAGCACUGGCUGACUUCAUAGCGAAGGGUGUUUCCUCUGGGUGGCCGGAGUCCUAACAGGCCGGAGAAGCUCUUGCGCGAGCUAAGGCCUCCCAGGCCGGAGAAGCUCCUGCGCGAGUUAAGGCCCCCUAGAUCGGAGAAACUCUUGUACGAGCUGAGGUCAAACAGGCCGGAGAAGCUCCUGCGUGAGUUGAGACCUCCCAGAUUGGAGAAGCUCUUGUACGAGCUGAGGUCAAACAGGCUGGAGAAGCUCUUGUGCGAGCGAAAGCCAGACAAAUUGGGAAGGCCGCUGGACCAGCCCCAGUCAAAGAGACUAAGGAGGCUGUCGAACAGGCCUGGACACUGUAUGUUGACAGAGUUUCAAGCAAAGAAGGGUGUGGAGCAGGGCUCCUCCUAAUUAGUCCUGCAGGAGAAGAGUUGGCUUACGUCUUGAGGUUCGAUUUUAGAGCCUCCAAUAAUGAAUCUGAGUAUGAAACUCUGAUCGCAGGGAUGGAGAUGGCACGAAAAUUAGGGGCUAAGUCACUAAGUGCCUACAGUGACUCACAGCUGAUAGUGAAUCAAGUGUUAGGGAAUUACGAUGUCAAUGAAGGACCAUUGAGGAAGUAUGUUGCUAAGGCACACAAACUAAAGAGCCAGUUCAGGUAUUACAAGCUCAAGCAGGUUCCGCGGAGUAGGAAUAAAAGAGCUGACACCCUAUCUAAGCUAGCCUCUACCUCGUUUGGCAUACUGAAUAAGGAAGUGUUGGUUGAGGUCGUCAAAUGCCGGGCGUAUGAACAGCUAGACGCCGUAGUAAUUCAAGUAACGAGCUUAUGAAUGGACUCUCUGGUGCGGUACCUAGCCCACAGAGAGCUACCCUCAAAGAAGGUGAAAGCACAGAAAGUACUCCUCAAGUCACAGAGAUUUGUGCUCAUAGACGGAGUAUUGUACAGAAAGUCCUAUUUGCAACCGUAACUGAAGUGUGUGACACCUGAGGAGGGGAGCUACAUCUUACGUGAACUAUAUGAGGGCAUAUGUGGGGGUCACGUUGGACCACGAGCUCUAGCCAAAAAGAGCAUGUUAUCUGGGUACUAUUGACCUACCAUCUUCCGAGACUCGUCCGACCUGGUGGCUAAGUGCAGGUCAUGAUAACUGCAUGCGCCAAUUCACCAUGCCUCAACCCAAGAGAUGGUCCCUCUUUAAAGCCCAUGGCCAUUUUUUCAGUGGGGAAUUGACUUGCUCGAUCCGUUUCUUUGGGCUCCGGGAAGAUAUGAGUUUUUAGUCGUCGUCAUAGACUACUUCACUAAGUGGGUAAAAGUCGAGCCGCUCAACACUAUCAGCAGCUGAUCAGUCCAGAAGUUUCUCUAGAAGAGUAUAGUCUGUCGGUUCGGCAUAUCCCGGGCUCUGAUCUCUGACAACGGGCCACAAUUUGCCAACAGUUCUUUCCAAGAAUGGUGCGCUGAGCUCAGAAUUCGACAACACCUUACCUCGGUGGGCCACCCUCAAGCUAAUGGACAGGUAGAAAAUGUCAACCGGACUAUCCUGUACCGCUUGAAAACUCGAAUAGGGUUGGCUCGAACGAGGUGGAUGGAUGAACUGCCCACCAUACUCUGGGCUUAUCGAACUACACCCCAAACGGCCACCCUAAAGACUCCAUUUGUAUUAGCUUAUGGGGCAGAAGCGGUAAUUCCGGCAGAGGUCGGCGUACCCUCAAGCAGGGUGCAGAAAUUCAUAGCUCGAAAUAAGGAGGAUGAGAUGCGGCUUAACCUGGAUUUGCUCGAGUAGAGAAGAGAAGAAGCAGCUAUACGAAUGGCUAAGUACAAAGGACAGGCCGCACGGCACUACAAUGCUAGAGUAAGACACCUCUUUUUCAAACCAGGAGACCUGGUCUUACAAAAGAAUGCUGUAAGUAGGGCCUUGAGUACGAAUAAGCUGAGUCCGAACUAGGAAGGAUCCUACGUGGUAAAGGAAGCAGAUCGAGCGGGAUAUUGCAAAUUAGCACACCUCGAGGGGGAAGAAGUCCCCGUACU